rnacentral:lncRNA from 1 species
CCCCAAGAAGGCCACCAAGGCCUAGAUCCUAGUAGUGUCUGCGGUGUACUGAUGGUUCCAGUUUGGUUAGAUGUAGUCGCUGUUUCACUCUGUGUCCUGCGCCCCUGAUGUAAUCGCCAACAAAGGGGAAGCCGCUUGCUUCCCCUUGACUUAUGAAUUAGUAUCAAGUAUGCGUUUCUGAACUGAAUUCGUCUCUGUUGAUUUAUUCAGAUUUGGAACUGAACUAAAUUUGUUUCAUGGAUUGUUUGGGAUCCAAUGAGACCCUCCAUUCAUAAUCUGGCACGAUGAGCACAAAUUCCUCUAAUUUUUUUACAGACCAUAGUUGACAUGUAACUGACGGACGGAACUGAAGUUGUGCAAUCUUCAGAUUUCGCUUCCCUUGUGCAAUUCCUAGAGCCGGAACGUUUAUCAAGGCUCUGAACUCUGAAGCUACGCUCGUCUGUCAUCUGAACAAUUCUGCUGAGCACAUUUUAGUUGGGCGGCAGACAUUUUUUGCCCCAUUCUGCUGCGCAGAUUUCUGAAGCUAAAAAAAAUUCUCCAACAUAUGAUGUAGAGUGGAUAUGAGAAUGGAUAUUUAUUAAAAUAAAUACGAUUUAUUGACGGCCAGUCACUCAUUCUUAGAGCUUUGGAGAUCUAGAUGUAAACUUAACGAGUUUUUACAUCUUCGAGGCCUAAAAAUGCACCUCCAACAUAUGAUGUAGAUGUAAAAAAAGUUUACAUCACCUACUCCAAGUGAUGUAAAAUACAACACUUAGACAUGCAAAUUUGCAUCGCCAUCUCCCUCGUGAUGUAAAACUGCAGUCGCGCGCCAACCGCCACUUCCCCUCCUUUUCUCCCCCUGUGCGACCACCUCCACGCCGCCUGCCGCCACGCCACCCUCCAACCGGACCCUGCCGCACCCCACCACCGCCAGAUUCAGCCUCCCGACUCCCCCAGCGCCGGUUCCGCCGACUCAACGUCGCCUUGAUUCGCGUUGUCCUGGCCGUCGAGGUCCAUGAGGUGUUCCGCGAUGACGAGCGCGAGCGCUUCUUGGAGGCACUCAUGGCCAUCCUGCUCUAACUCGACGCCAUCCCAGGCCACGACUCGACCGUGCGGGUGACGCGGCACGCUAUCGGCCGCCGGGUCGUCGGCCUCCAGGAGGUCUUCAACUUUGUGCUCGCGGCGCUAGAGGCCGACACUUACGGGAUCUGGAGUGUUGGAGAAGUGUUGGCUGUGCCGCCGCCGGCGGCGUCCGCAGAGGAGGAGGCGAGGAGGAGUGGCUGGGGCAGAGGAGGAGCGGCGGCAACAGCUAACAGUGUGCAGCAGAGGAGGAGGCAAGGAUGAGCGGCAGCAUCAAGAGCACUCGAUUUCCUUGGCAGCGAGCGGCGCACGCAAGAGUUUGGCCGGCGGCGUGCACGAGCAUUGUCCAUUUGAUCGGUGGUUCAGUUUCCAUAGUAGGUUUAGUUUCAACAGUAUGAACUGUUUACAUCACCAAUUAUACAUCAUCUGUUGUGGUAGUAGUUUUCCAUCACCGAAUAUACAUCAUUUGUUGCAGUUGAAACUUUUUUGAGGAUGUAAAAAGCAUUUUGUGGUGAUGUAAAUUAUAAAAGAACUACUUUUACAUCUCCAAAUAUACUUCUAUUGGAGAUGCUCUUAUGCUUUCAUGAACAUGCAUUGUAUACAUGGGACGGUUCUAGGUUUGGGUAAACCUGGCCAUCCGUCGGGCCGGACCUACCAAAGCCCGACGCAGAAAACCUAGCCCCGAGCCCGGCCCGCCUAGCCGUCAGGCCUAAAAAUCAGGCCCAAGCCCGACCCAUCACGCAAUAAGCCUGUCGAGCCUCGGGCCUCAGGCCUGGACUCUUCCUUAAACUGCAAAUACGUCGGGUCUGAGCCUGACCCGGCCCGACCAUCAGCUCAAAAUCUAGGACCAGGCCCGGCCCGUGGGCAAGGUCAGGUCGGGCCAUCCGAGCCGGGCUGCCCAUGGCCAGGUAUAGGGGCAAACCUAUUUGCUUCUUCCUUUAUUUGCUCACCCUUCUCAUUAGCGACUGUCUAUUGACCUACGUGAAUGACAUAUCUUGUACUUGUGGAUUAUCACAAAAAGUAAUAACAUUGACCAAUAUGCAUUUCACAAAGCAGCCACUCAGGCCCUAAUUAAGGAGGUUUAGCUCUUACAGUUGAUGAAGACAAUAUGUUUUAUGGCUUUCCAUACUCUUAGUUAGAUUUUUCGACAAAUUACUGAAUAGAUUAGAUCAUUGAUGGUGCACAUUGCUGAGCUGCUACUUGUUGUGAUAGGCGUUGGGAUUCCCCGAAGAGGAAGGGUGAUGUAGUAUAGUAGCACAUAUUAUUUCCCUCAGUUAAGAACCAAGAUUUGUCAAACUAGUAGGAGACACCACACAAACAAGAUAAGCGGUACCUACACACACAAAGCAAAUGCUUGCACCUAACGAAGGUUAGAGGGUUGUCAAUCCCCUUGUUCUCGCCAAUUGCAAGGAUUAAAUCUGAUAGUGGUAGAUAAAUAGAACAAAAUAAAAACAAUGAGCAUUUUUUAGGGUUUUAGUAAAUAUGGAAGAUGGACCCGAGGCCAUAGGUUCACUAGAGGCAUCUCUCUCAUGAGCAUAGCAAAGGUUGGGUAGACAAAUUAUUGUUUGGCAAUUGACAGAAUAACACAUAGUUAUUAUGUUUAUUCAUGGCAUGAUCAAUAUAUAGACAUUACGUUCAUGAUAAGUAGACCAUUAAAUUUACUGACGCCUACUACUAUGACUUCACCCCAAGACCCCUAUCCAGCAUGCAUCUCAAAGUAUUAAGUUCAUGACAAGCCAAGUAAUGCUUUAAGCAUGAUGACAUAAUGUAGACAAAGUAAUAUCAAAUAAUAUGUUUGAACCCCGUUGUUUUAUCCUUAGUAGCAACAAUACAAAUACGUGCCAUGCAACUCCUUCUGUCACAGAGUAAGGACACCGCAAGAUUGAACCUACUACCAAGCACCUCUCCCACUGAAGGUAAAUCGAUUUAAUUGGCCGAAGAAGAUAGAAAGAUCGGAGAGAAAUACAAGGCUAUAAAAUCACACAUAAAUAAAUCUUAGAAAAGACUCAAAUACUUUCAAUGAAUACUGAUCAUAAACCCACAAUUAAUCAAAUUCCAACAAACACACUACGAGAAUUACAUCGAAUAGAUCUCCAAAGAAAUCAUUGUACUAUUCCAGAUAAAUAUUGAAUUGGAUUUCAAUCAAAAGCAGAUAAAUAUUGAACUGUACUAUUCCAGAUCAGGAACUACCCAAAUACCAAAGUCUGCAUCUGAUCUGAUUGCUACAAGCAAAAAAUGCAGCUUGCUAGUCCAGUCUUGACCGCAGCCUUGCUCCUCCAACACUAGUAGAAAACAGGGCUUUGGUCCAGGCCGGGUCAGCCCAUUAGUCCCGGUUCAGUCUAGAACCGGGACCAAUGUGGGCAUUGAUCCCAGUUCGUGAGCCCAGGGGGCCGGCCGGGCCAUGUGGGCCAUUGGUCCCGGUUCAUCUGGACCUUUUGGUCCCGGUUGGUGGGAUGAAUCGGGACCAAUGGGCCUCGCUCCUGGCCCACCACCAUUGGUCCCAGUUGGUGGCUUGAACCGGGACCAAAGGCUCCCCUUUAGUCCCGGCUCAUGUCACCAACCGGGACCAAUGAGGUGCCUAUAUAUACCCCCUCGCGCAAGAGCAGAGCACAGUGCUCUGUUUUUUCUGGCCGAGGGGGAGAGGGCUUUGUGGUGCUCUAGCUCACCUCCUAUGCACAUGAGGUGUUCGAUGGAAUGCCCGAGCCACACUACUUGAGCUUUCUCCUCUCGAAACUCGACCUCCAAGCUCCAUUUUCCUCGAGAUUUGUCUAGAUUUAGCGGUCCGUCACGCCCCGUGCCCGUCUUCACCGCCGUCGAUCACCCGCGCCGAUCUCAUCACCAACACCACCGUGGUGAGCCUCUUGUUCUUAUCUUCUUUCUGAAAGGAAAAAUAUUCUUACUUGUAUGUUUAGAUAGAUACUUGUAUCAUUUUUCUUACAUUUAUUAUUGCAUCUUAUAUAGUGCGAUGGUUUUGGUAUCCGUCCCCGUCGGCCCUCGUCCUGUCUAUGAUUCGGAUGUGGUAUGUAUAUUAUCUUUAUAACUAUUGGUUCAUUUAUUGUUUAUGAAAAUUAUGCCGACCAACGUGACAUAGAUUUUAUUUAUCUAGGAUGUAUGUGAAUCGGAAAUGCCAACCGACCCUAUUGUCGAGAGGUUAAAUUUAGUUGAAGAAGAAAACAAUUUGUUGAAGGAAAAAAUAAAAAAAAUUGAGGAGGAGAAGAUGAUAUUGGAGUUGCAUGUUGCGGAUGUCGUCGAUGAUCACAAGAUCAAGAUGGAUGCAAUGCGCUUGAAGAUUAGAAAGAUUAGAAAUAUGCCAUUCAUACCGAGGCUUGGUAUCAUUAUGCCGUUGGAUCAAUUAUUACCUUGGUUGCGAUUAUGAUCGCAUUUGUUUUCGCAUUGAAAUGUUUUAAAUAGUUUCAAUGUAUGGUUUAAUUAAUUAGAUGCACUGGAGAGCUAUAUGUUGUUAGAUGAGAACUAUGUAUGCACUUUGGUUUUAAUGUGAUGAUGAACUUCUAUUAAUUUGGACACUUAAUUAUAUAUAAUGCACGCAGAUGAACCGGCAAUGGAUGUACAGUGACAGACACACCCGCAAGUACAUUAAGGGCGUGCAUGAGUUUCUCGAUGCGACUGAGGCAAACAAGCAGAAUGGUUUUAUGUGUUGUCCAUGCACUGAAUGUGGGAAUACGAGGUCUUACUCUAACCGGAAAAUCCUUCACUCCCACCUGCUUUAUAAGGGUUUCAUGCCACACUAUAAUGUUUGGAUGAGGCACGGAGAAAUAGGGGUUAUGAUGGAAGACGGCGAAGAAGAAGACUACGAUGACAACUAUAUGCCCCCUGAAUACGGCGAUGCUGCAACGGGGGGAGCUGGUGAAGAUCAAGAGGAACCAGACGAUGUGCCCAAUGAUGCUGCAACGGGUGAAGCUGCUGAAGAUCAAGAGGAACCAGACGAUGUGCCCGAUGAUGAUGAUCUCUGCCAGGUCAUUGUCGAUGCAAGGACGCAAUGCAUUAGUCAAAAGGAGAAGCUGAAGUUCGAUUGCAUGUUAGAGGAUCACAAAAAAGGGUUAUACCCCAAUUGCGAAGAUGGCAACACAAAGCUCGGUACCGUACUGGAAUUGCUGCAGUGGAAGGCAAAGAAUGCUGUGGCUGACAAAGGAUUUGAGAAGCUACUGGAAAUAUUGAAGAAGAAGCUUCCAAAGGAUAACGAAUUGCCCGACAGUACAUACGCAGCAAAGAAGGUCGUAUGCCCUCUAGGAUUGGAGGUGGAGAAGAUACAUGCAUGCCCUAAUGACUGCAUCCUUUACAGCGGUGCAUACAAGGAUCUGAACGCAUGCCCGGUAUGCGGUGCAUUGCGGUAUAAGAUCAGACGAGAUGACCCUGGUGAUGUUGACGGCGAGCCCCCCAGGAAGAGGGUUCCUGCGAAGGUGAUGUGGUAUGCUCCUAUAAUACCACGGUUGAAACGUCUGUUCAAAAACGAAGAGCAUGCCAAGUUGAUGUGAUGGCACAGUGAGAACCGAAAGAAAGAUGGGAAGUUGAAAGCACCCACUACUUCUGUCAUUAAGUCUCUCUAUAUAGCUCAUCUCUUUCAUUGCAUGUAUUUAUAAUUAUCCUCACUAUAUUAUGCAGAAUGAAGAUCGCCGAAUUAAAGAAAAGACAAAUCGGUGAUAUUGGGUUCGUUAACACAUAUCUCAUAGAUGCAACUAAGGUUCAACAUCGUCCCGGAGAUACCGAGGCCAACUUGCUACGAUCAUUCAAAAAAAUGAAAACAAAGAUAUAAUACUCUUUCCUUACAACUUCAAGUGAGUGUUACUGUUUUGUGCAUAUUCGGUUUCCCUUAUAUAUUAGUCCAGGUUAUAGUAAUGUAAUUGAUGAGUUAUGCAUGCGUGUGCAGUUUCCACUAUAUUCUCCUAGAGAUUAGGCUUGAGCAGGGAGUAGUAACCGUCUUGGACUCUAAACGAAAAGAUCCCCAGGAGUAUGCGAACAUAACUGAAAUCCUCAAGAAGUAAGUUAAAUCGAUCAUUAUUCACCAUAUCAGCAACUUUGUUCAUUUCCUGAUAUCAAGUAAUUGUGUUCUUUGUCCGACAGAGUUUGGACAAAAUUCACUAGAAAAGUUCCGGGACUGCCGAAAGAGCUGGAAUUUAGACACCCGAAAGUAAGUACUAUAGUAGCAUGUUCCGCGCAUCUCCUAGUGAUUCAAGCGCUAGUUUCAUCAAUACCAUUUAGUAUUCUUGCUUAUCAGUUUGAUUAACCUCUAUUUCUUGUAAAGUGGUUGUGGCAGGAAAAAGGGAAUGAUUUCUGUGGAUACUACGUCUGCGAGUCCAUCCGCCACAUGACCUGUGAGCGGGGCGGGUACUCUGAUGAACAAUAUGAAGUACGUAAAUAACAACAUUUACAAUUUUAUUUUAUUACCAUCAUUUGUAUUGAGUUUCAUUCAUUCAUAUAUAUAUAUAUAUGUAUUGACCCCCUUCUUCAAAUUAGAUGUUUCGGAAGCGGGAUGAACUCCUAGCACCAGCUCGCAUGCGAGCAAUUUGAAGAGGAAUUGGCGGCAUUCUUUCUUGACCAAGUGAUCGCUGAAGACGGAGAAUACUAUGUGGACCAUGAGUCCAUAUGAUUAUAUUUGUAAGAGAUAAUUAUUGUAUAUAUGUAGCCGGUAGUGUCGGAUAGAUAUACGAGAACUUGUUGUUCGACCAAUCUCUCGGAGAAGGAGAGGUGGUCGAUAUCACUUCUCUCUGUAUGCAUAUAUGUUCAUGACGAUCUUCUAUUUCCUUCGUUUUCUUACUAGCUAACUAGCGUGUCUAGUUCUCUCUAUACGUAUGUAUAGUACGUAGCGUCGACCAAGCACGGACGUAAGAGAGGACACUUCUCUCUAUUAAUUAUAGCUAGCUAAUACAAUAUAUGAAACACCUAAAUUAACCCCCCAAAACCCCCAACCCCCCCCCCCUUUAAAAAAAACAAAACCCCCAGCCACAGAAAUGCUGACGCGUGGAUGCCUAUUGGUCCCGGUUGGUGCCACCAACCGGGACCAAAGGGUCUCCUGCCUGGGCUCUGCGCACUGCCCACGUGGAGGCCCAUUAGUCCCGGUUCUGGAUUGAACCGGGACUAAAGGUACAGAGCAUUAGUACCGACACUUUAGUCCCGGUUCAGGAACCGGGACUAAAGGCCCUUACGACCGGGACUAUAGGCCCUUUUUCUACCAGUGCAAUCCAGAAGAUCAACAGCGGCGGCCUUGCUGUCACUACGCCACACGCACACUUGUGCCUCCUCACGAACGGCGGCGUUUGGAUUGCCUACCCCGUCAGGGGCAGCGCUUGGAGCUUCUGGUCCGUCAAGAGCAUAGUUUUAAAUAGCCGGCUAUAGCCCCGCUAUAGCUCCGUUAUAGCUGUUUGAGGGUGUUGCCGUUAAAUGAUUUCACGUACAAUUUGCCGCUAUAGCCCAGCUAUAGCUGUUUUUAAGGGUCGCCGCUAAAUGCCAUAGCCCGCUAUUUAAAACGUAGGUCAAGAGCGGCAGCGCGGUGUUUCCCAGUGUGACGCGCGAGUGCGGCAGCAGCGUGGCCUCCCAGCCUCGUUCCGCUGAUGGAUCUACCGCCAUGGAGCAGAGUGCUCGCCUCCUUCUUCCGCCAGAUCCUUGGUCGAGGUGGGGGGUGGGGGAGGACGAGGGGCGGGAGACGCUGACGAGGCUGCACUUCCGCGUGGUCGGGGCGCCGGGUGGGUGAGUCAGGGAGAAAGGGAGAGAGAGGCGCGAGUGAGGCGUUCCGCGUGGUCCGGCCGAUUCGGAGGAACGCCCAGGUUCGGCAUAAACAGGGAAUAUGCCGUUCUCUGGAAUCAGUGGAUUCUGGUUCCUUCGCCAAUCUAAACACAGGAACAGGCCCUCGGGAUGGAACCAACCCAUGACAUUCCGCUUCGUGAUAGAAACCAAACACACCCCUAGUGUCUCUUUUGGUCAAAAAAACACCGUAAAAUUUCAUCGUGUUUGGACCUCGUUCGUGAAACGAAGAAAUAGACAAAAAAAAACAGAAACUGACACUGGGCACUAAGUUAAUAGGUUUGUCCACAAAAAUGAUAUGAAAUGGCAUAUAAAGCAUACAAGAUUUGUAAUAUACUAGAAAAAAUGCCCGUGCGUUGCAACGGGAGAAAAAGUACGCAUGCCCCUAUCUCAAUAAGCAUGGUCUCAAGAUCUCCAUAGGUCCACGUCCUUUUGUUCAACAUGACGCCCAUCUAUGUCACCGCCUAUCCUCCUUCCCACCGUCAUAUUAUUGCUAUUUACUCUGGGAAAAAUCAUGUUAUUUAUCUUAAUCCACUAUACAUUUUUUUAUUUUGUAUUAAUCAAACUGCAUUUGUUAAUUAUUUAAUUUAACCGAUCAUGCAUUAAGUUUUAAUGUUUGUUACCCUGCAAAAAAAGUUUUAUCGUUUGUGACUGGCCAUGCACUAAUUGUGUUUGUACUUAUAAAAUAAAAUGGUAUUUUACCCCAUUAAUAUUUGCGGACUGAAACAAAGUAAAGUGAAGCAAUUGCCACACGAUGGAGUUUCCAAACUUGCACUAACUUUUCUUCUCAAGCUAUAGUCAUGCUCAAACAUAGGGCAUAUGAAAGUGUACGGAUUGUGGAUCUAGAAAAAUUGUGCGUAUUCACAUUAUACCUCAUUAUUUUUUAUGAAAAUAAUCACGUUAUUUAUUUUCAUCCACUGUACAUUUUUUGAUUUGUUUAUUAAUGAAACUGCAUGUGUUAAUUAUUUAUUUUAACAGCCAUGCAUUAAGUUUUAAUGUUUGUGAGCGACCAAUUUUUUACACUUCCGUAACCAAUUAAUAACUUGAUGACAAAAAGAAUCGACCGAAAAGAUGCAUCCUCUUUGACAUGUACUCCUAACUCCAGUCGGCUAAAAAAGAGUUCACGUCUCUUUUCUUUUCCCCACUUUAAACUUGAUAGAAACAAUAUGAUAGAAAAGAUCCAAUUCGCUGCCUACUUUUGUUUCUGUUCCCACGACUUCGUUCCUCUUAAUUACCCAUUUAAUUGCCCAUCAUAUUUCUCAAGCAUGCAUUAGGAAUCCCGUUCCUUAAUUAUCCCACAAUAGUGUUGAUUUCUUUUUGCCCCAUUCGAUUUCCCCAUAAUAUUUCUACGAAUCCUCUGAUCACCAAUUUCCGAGCUGGCUUAUUAAGAUGAUUGAUGAUAGGUAAUUUGAACACGUAUACAAAUUGAUGGCUGUGCUUUUAAAAAAGCGAGGUGGUACUAUUUGCUAAUAAAACCAACCGCUACCAGCUAACGUAGUAGGCCUACUUUAGUUGGUUGUUGUCGAGCGCUACAAGAUGGAAUGUUGUGAGUUCUAUACCUCACGCCCGUGUUUUUUUUUUUUGAGACAAUCUCGCGAAAUUUUUAUUAAACCGUCACAAUGUUUACAGGGACGAACGGAAGAUCUCCGGGAUGGCCUAACCAAACAUGACGGCCAACCCCUAGAGAAAGUGCAUGUUUCCCUAAAUUGUGAGCCUCAUAAUUUGAGCUCCUAAAUUCAUGGCUAAACUUACAAAAAUCAAAAGACGACGAGUGAUCUAUUACUUCAUGUAUGAUUGCUCCAUACCGAGAUGCAUUUUCCUUCGUAAUGUCCUCAACCACCACUUUGCAGUCGGACGCCACAUGGAUCCUCCGCAAGUAUAAAUCAUCUGAUAGAGCAAGGGCUUCCCGAAUGGCCAAUGCUUCCAAUGUCUCCGGUUCUGAAACAUGUCUGAACACUAGGGUUGAGGCUCCCAGGAAUGAUCCAUCAGCGCUCCUGCUUAUCGCACCCACUGCUCCGUAUCUUCUGCUAUGGGGUACUGCAGCAUCCACAUUUACUUUUGCACUGUCCGCUACCGGCGGUUGCCAGACGGUAGAUCUUGCGGCCUUCGCUACCGCCGGCUUCGACGACACUGUAUUCAACACUUGAAGCUCGGCCAAGUAUCGUGUGAUGAAACCGUGUAUUGAUAAUGGUGACUGAUAGAUAGCCUCGUGGAUUGCUUUCCUUCUCGCUCCUCAAAUUGCCCAAAGCGUGACCACAAGCCGAACAAAAUCUUCCUUACCCAGUAUAUCAUGUAGCACAAAUAGCCAGUCCUUCGGGCUCUCCUCUUGGCGAUCCACAAGAUGUUGCACCAGAUGUUCAGGGGCCAACGCCCAAACACUGCUGGACAUCGGACAUGUAAGUAACGCAUGCUUCCAUGUGUCUCUUGCCCCGCAGAGGUUGCAUGUAUCUUCUGUCAACAUAUGGCGAUGCAUCAACAACUCACCGCAGGGCAUAGAUUGUCUAGCUAACCUCCAAACGAACAUUCUGAGCUUUUUUUAGAACCAUGGCUACAACCUACACCAUGGGGGGGACAUAUUCGUUCCUCACUACAUCCCUCAUGUCAUUUGGUACAUCAGCAAGGAACAUAAAAUCUCCUGAGACACGUGCGUUCAAGGCUAGCUCAUGCGCGAGCCUGUUCCUUUCCCUUCUAACUGCGUUGAUCUCUACACUUGCGUAGCUCAAGAGGAGGGCCUUAGUUUCCGCAAUCCAUGCAUGCCAUGAGGAUCUGCAUUUCUCCUCCGCCUUCAGAUCCCGAACGACUCCGGUAUUGUCCAUCUCAAGGAUCAAAUUUCCAAAGUAAUACUUUGCAAAUUCAGAUAAUCCCAAUGCCGCCGCUGCAGCCUCUGCCUCUUCUGCCGAACUGCAAUUGGGAAGUCGCCGACCUACAGAAAGAAACACAUGGCCCUUGUUGUCUCUCGCAACCGCUCCGCCCCACGCUUCUCCUGUUUCCUCCAGGAAAGCCGCAUCUGUGUUUAACUUUGCCCAGCCUGCUGGGGGUGCAGUCCAAUGGCUAGGUCCAGUUAUAGUCACUAUGCUCGGUUUGGUCGGGAAUAGAGACUGUUUAUUCUUCUCACCUUCGUGCAUCGGUUCGCGUGCAGCCAAUCGGAUCUCGUCAUGGAGUCUGAGCAGGUAUUGGACGGCAACUGACACCGUUUGUUUCCCAUCACCAUGGAUCACAUUGUUUCUUAGGUUCCAGGACUGCCACAUGAUUAGCAUCAACUUAGUUCUGAUCUCCUUAUGCUGUCCCAGUAGCAUCAGUUGUAGCCAAUCCCCACCAGAGUAUGUAAGUACAGAUUCCCUAGGGAUGUCCCAGUAUGUCCUCAUGGAUUGGCGGAGGGCAACACUCCUCGUACAUGCGAUAACAGCAUGGUACUCAUCUUCCGUACCUGUACCGCAAAUUUCACAUACAUUGUCAUCGGCUAGAGUCCUUCUGUAAGCAUUGUGUUUGGUAGCGAGUGAAUUUGUGGCUACUCUCCAUCCGAAUACCUUUAUCUUCUUCGGUAUAUCUGCCUUCCAAAUUGCAUCCCAUAUGCUCCGGUCACCCGGAUCUCUUGAGGAACUUGUUGCUAUCUCUGUUCUAUUUCUCGUGAGAGAAUCAGCGAGCUUGUAGGCGCUUCUAACUGUGAAGGCACCUGACUUCUCGUAGUGCCAGGCAUAGCAAUCCUCCAUUUCGAUCCGUGGGAUUUUAAUUUUGCAUAUCUCAUCUGCAUCAAAGGGAUGGAAGAUCUGCCUCACUAGUCCAACAUUCCACUCUUUGUUUUGUGUAUCAAUCAGUUGGUUUACCCACCUCAGUCUAGACCUCCUUAUAAAAGAGGCCACCUUCAAUCCCUCUUUCCUUGGGAUCCAUUGGUCUCUUAUAAUCUGAAUGUUUUUGCCAUUACCCACUCGCCAGAUGCUGCUCCAAUUCUUGCUUUCAUGCUGAACAUAUGACGAUCCUUCCGUUUCAUGCAGCCACGCCUCUCGAUUGAUUUUUUUCCUCAAGAUCAUACGGUAUGCCGAGCCAACACUGAAAAUACCACGUGGUUCCUCGUGCCAUGCCCAAAAGUCUGAAACUGUGCGCGUACAAAGUGGUAUCUUUAGGAUUUCCUCAGAGUCGAACGGAGUGAAGAUAGACCGAACUAGUCCUUCAUUCCAAGACGGAGUAGAUGCACUGAUGAGUUGCGCCACUCUAGUAGGAGGAUGUUGCACCAGAGAUGUUAUAGGUCUUUUGAAACUCUCCCUCGGUAUCCAGUUGUGUUCCCAAAUGUCUGUGGUUUCCCCGUCUCCAAUCCUCCUGAUCAUGCCUUGUGCCAAAAUGUCCCGGCCAUCCACAAUGGCCCUCCAAAUCUGCGAUGGAUGAGACCCCAGCUCUGCAUCUGGCAAUGAGCAGUUUGGAAAGUAAAUUGAUUUUAGGAUCCUGGAGCUUAAUGAGGAUUCCGAAGUCAUUGUGCGCCAAGCCUGCCGUGCGAGAAGUGCCAGGUUAAAUAUUUCCAUGUCUCUGAACCCUAGGCCACCCAUAUGUUUCGGUCUAGUCAUAACAUCCCAUGACACCCAACUGGGCUUCCUUCUGCCCUGCUUACUCCCCCACCAGAAUUGCCUUAUGAUCGAUGUGAUGUUCUCGCAAAGCCGGCUGCCAUGGAAUAAACAGGUAUCGCUUGUGCCACAGACUUGAUCAGAACUUCUUUGCCCGCCGAGGACAGCAGCUUCUCCAUCCAACCUUUGAUCUUUUCCCAUACUCUAUCUCUCAGGUAUUUAAACGUUCCAUUCUUUGAAUGACCCACAUCAGUUGGCAUUCCCAGAUACCGAUCAGACAAGGACUCGUUUUGGACCUGUAAAGAAUCCUUCACCUUUGUUCUGGUGGGGCCCGGACACCCCUUGCUGAAAAAUAUGGAUGAUAUAUCACGGUUUAUCCUUUGCCUCGAAGCGUCACAAUAUUUCUCUAGCAGGUUUUACACUGCAACUGCUCCCUCCACACUCGCCUUGAAAAGCAACAGGCUGUCAUCUGCAAAUAGAAGGUGGUUAAUGGUUGGAGCCAUGGGGUCCACCUUGAUACCUGCUAGUGAUGACUGAGAACUGGAUUUCAGGAGGCACGAAAGGCCCUCUGCUGCAAUCAAGAAUAAGUAGGGGGAGAUUGGGUCUCCCUGCCGGAUUCCUCUGGUUGGUUUGAAAGGGUCAAGUUUCUCACCAUUGAAAAGAACUGAAAAAGAGACAGAUGAAACCAUAGCCAUGACUGUGUUUAUCCACUGUUCUGCGAAACCAAGUUUAGUCAUGAUAGCUCUCAAGUAUGUCCAUUCUAGCCUAUCAUAGGCCUUCAUCAUAUCCAACUUCAGUGCACAAAAACUGUUUGACUUCGCCCUAGACCGCUUCAUAAAAUGCAAACAUUCAUAUGCACAAAUGAUGUUAUCCGUAAUUUGCCUCCCUGGCACAAAUGCAGACUGCUCUUCCGAAAUAAUAUCAGGUAAUAUAAUCUUCAACCUAUUAGCGACCACCUUGGAUGCUAUUUUGUACAGUACAUUGCAAAGACUAAUAGGUCGAAACUGAGACAAAGCAGUGGGAUUCGUUACCUUCGGUAUAAGAACCAAAACCGUGUUAUCGUUACUUCCAUACUACUUUGCUACUAAAUAUUUUGCUGCAGAUAUUUAGUCUUUCAGGUUGGUCGAAUUGACAACUCAGCUGCUAAUACUUGAGAAUAUUCUUUGGCUCCCCUUGUGUCGAAUCAAUAAAUUUGGGUUGAAUACUCUACCCUCGAAAACGGUUGCGAUCCCCUAUACUUGUGGCUUAUCAACAUAAUGUAGAAGGAUAAACUCAAGCAAUAUGAUGAAAACCCCAUCUAUUUACCCUUGAUGGCAACAAUACAAAUACGUACCUCGCUACCCCUACUUUGUCACUGGUGAGGACACCACAAGAUUGAACCCAAAACUAAGUGAUACGUCCAUUUUGUAUCAUGCUUUUAUAUCGAUAUUUAUUGCAUUAUGGGUUGUUAUUACACAUUAUGUCACAAUACUUAUCCUAUUCUCUCUUAUUUUACAAGGUUUGCACGAAGAGGGAGAAUGCCGGCAGCUGGAAUUCUGGGCAGGAAAAGGAGCAAAUAUUAGAGACAUAUUUUGCACAACUCCAAAAGUACUGAAACUCCACGGAAGUCAGUUUUGGGAUAUAUAAAAAAUAUUGGGCGAAGAAAGCACCGGAGGGGGGCCACCCACCAUCCACGAGGGUGGGGGCGCGCCCUACCCCCUGGGCGCGCCCCCUGUAUCGUGGGCCCCCUGGCAGGCUUCCGGUGCCCAUAUUUGGCUAUAUGAAGUCUUUCACCCUGGAAAAAAUCAUAAGCAAGCUCUUGGGACGAAACACCCCUGCCACAAGGUGGAACCUUGGCGGAACCAAUCUAGGGCUCCGACAGAGCUUUUCUGUCGGAGAAACAUCCCUCCGGGAGGGGGAAAUCAUCGCCAUCGUCAUCACCAUCGAUCCUCUCAUCGGGAGGGGGUCAAUAUCCAUCAACAUCUUCACUAGCACCAUCCCAUCUCAAACCCUAGUUCAUCUCUUGUAUCCAAUCUUUGUCCCAAAACCUCAGAUUGGUACUUGUGGGUUGCUAGUAGUGUUGAUUACUCCUUGUAGUUGAUGCUAGUUGGUUUAUUUGGUGGAAGAUCAUAUGUUCAGAUCCUUUAUGCAUAUUAAUACCCCUCUGAUUAUGAACAUGAAUAUGAUUUGUGAGUAGUUACGUUUGUUCCUGAGGACAUGGGAGAAGUCUUGCUAUAAGUAGUCAUGUGAAUUUGGUAUUCGUUUGAUAUUUUGAUGAGAUGUAUGUUGUCUUCCCUCUAGUGGUGUCAUGUGAACGUCGACUACAUGACACUUCACCAUUGUUUGGGCCUCGGGGAAGGCAUUGGGAAGUAAUAAGUACAUGAUGGGUUGCUAGAGUGAUAGAAGCUUAAACCCUAGUUUAUGCGUUGCUUCGUAAGGGGCUAAUUUGGAUCCAUAUGUUUCAUGCUAUGGUUAGGUUUACCUUAAUACUUCUUUUGUAGUUGCAGAUGCUUGCAAGAGGGGUUAAUCAUAAGUGAGAUGUUUGUCCAAGGAAGGGCAGUACCCAAGCACCAAUCCACCCACAUAUCAAAUUAUCAAAGUAACGAACGUGAAUCAUAUGAGCGUGACGAAAACUAGCUUGACGAUAAUUCCCAUGUGUCCUCGGGAGCGCUUUCCUUUAUAUAAGAGUUUGUCCAGGCUUGUCCUUUGCUACAAAAAGGAUUGGGCCAUCUUUCUGCACCUUAUUUACUUUUAUUACUUGUCACCCGUUACAAAUUACCUUAUCACAAAACUAUGUGUUACGGAUAAUUUCAGUGCUUGUAGAGAAUACCUUACCGAAAACCGCUUGUCAUUUCCUCCUGCUCCUCGUUGGGUUCGACACUCUUACUUAUUGAAAGGACUAUGAUAGAUCCCCUAUACUUGUGGGUCAUCAAGACUCUUUUCUGGCACCGUUGCCGGUGAGUGAAGCGCCUUUGGUAAGUGAAAUUUGGUAAGGAAAGAUUUAUAUAGUGUGCUGAAAUUUACUGUCACUCGUUACUAUGGAAAGUAAUCCUUUGAGGGGCUUGUUUGGGGUAUCUUCACCCCGACCAGUAGAGCAAAGAGUUGCUCCUCAACCUACUGAGCCUACUGAAAAUGUUUACUUUGAAAUUCCUUUGGGUAUGAUAGAGAAACUGCUAUCUAAUCCUUUUACAGGAUAUGGAACAUUGCAUCCCGAUUUGCACCUACUCUAUGUGGAUGAAGUUUGUGGAUUAUUUAAGCUUGCAGGUAUGCCCGAGGAUGUUUUCAAGAAGAAGGUAUUCCCUUUAUAUUUGAAGGGAAAGGCAUUGGCAUGGUUUAGGCUAUGUGAUGAUAUUGGAUCAUGGAACUACAACCGAUUGAAAUUGGAAUUUCAUCAUAAGUUCUAUCCUAUGCAUCUGGUUCAUCGUGAUCGUAAUUAUAUAUAUAUAGUUUUUGGCCUCGCGAAGGAGAGAGCAUCGCUCAAGCUUGGGGGAGGCUUAAGUCAAUGUUAUAUUCAUGCCCCAAUCAUGAGCUCUCAAGAGAAAUUAUUAUUCAAAAAUUUUAUGCUCGACUUUCUCUCAAUAAUCGCUCCAUACUCGAUGAUACGUCUCCAACGUAUCUAUAAUUUUUUAUUGCUCCAUGCUACUUUAUCUACUGUUUUGGACUAUAUUGGGCUUUAUUUUCCACUUUUAUAUUAUUUUUGAGACUAACCUAUUAACCGGAGGCCCAGCCCAGAAUUGUUGUUUUUUGCCUAUUUCAGUAUUUCGAGAAAACAGAAUAUCAAACGGAGUCCAAACGGAAUGAAACCUUCGGGAACGUGAUAUUCUCACCGAACGUGAUCCAGGAGACUUGGACCCUACUCCAAGAAGUUUCCGGGGAGGUCACGAGGGUGGAGGGCGCCCCCCCUGGGGCGCGCCCCCUGCCUCGUGGGCCCCUCGGAGCUCCACCGACGUGCUCCUUCCUCCUAUAUAUACCUACGUACCCCUAUUAGACCAAAGCCGGAGCCAAAAACCUAAUUCCACCACUGCAACUUCCUGUAUCCACAAGAUCCCAUCUUGGGGCCUGUUCCGGAGCUCCGCCGGAGAGGGCAUCCAUCACGGAGGGCUUCUACAUCAACACCAUAGCCCUUCCGAUGAAGUGUGAGUAGUUUACUUCAGACCUUCGGGUCCAUAGCUAGUAGCUAGAUGGCUUCUUCUCUCUUUUUGGAUCUCAAUACAAUGUUCUCCCCCUCUCUCGUGGAGAUCUAUUCGAUGUAAUCUUCUUUUUGCGGUGUGUUUGUUGAGACCGAUGAAUUGUGGGUUUAUGAUCCAACUUAUCUAUGAAUAAUAUUUGAAUCUUCUCUGAAUUCUUUUAUGUAUGAUUGAGUUAUCUUUGCAAGUCUCUUCAAAUUAUCCGUUUGGUUUGGCCAACUAGAUUGGUAGUUCUUGCAAUGGGAGAAGUGCUUAGCUUUGGGUUCAAUCCUGCGGUGUCCUUACUCAGUGACAGAAAGAGUUGCAAGGCACGUAUUGUAUUGUUGCCAUCAAGGAUAAAAAGAUGGGGUAUUUAUCAUAUUGCAUGAAUUUAUUCCUCUACAUCAUGUCAUCUUGCUUAAGGCGUUACUCUGUUUUUAACUUAAUACUCUAGAUGCAUGCUGGAUAGCGGUCGAUGAGUGGAGUAAUAGUAGUAGAUGCAGGCAGGAGUCGGUCUACUUGUCACGGACGUGAUGCCUAUAUACAUGAUCAUACCUAGAUAACCUCGUAACUAUGCUCAGUUCUAUCAAUUGCUCAACAGUAAUUUGUUCACCCACCAUAGAAUAUCUAUGCUCUUGAGAGAAGCCACUGGUGAAACCUAUGGCCCCCGGGUCUAUUCUCAUCAUAUCAAUCUCCAUUACUUUAUUUUACUUGUUUUGCUUUUACUUUUCACUUUGCAUCUUUAUACCAAAAAUACCAAAAAUAUUAUCUCUAUCAGAUCUCACUCUCGUAAGUGACCGUGAAGGAAUUGACAACCCCUAAGCGUUGGUUGCGAGUUGCUACCGUUUUGUGCAGGUAAGAGGGACUUGCGUGUGACCUCCUACUGGAUUGAUACCUUGGUUCUCAAAAACUGAGGGAAAUACUUACGCUACUGUGUUGCAUCACCCCCUCCUCUUCGGGGAAAACCAACGCUAGCUCGAGACAUAGCACUCGAUACUUCUUGUACUGGUUCUUUUAUCAUGAAGACUAUUGAAUUCAAAUGGGAUUUAUUGGAAAGAAUUAAACGCAACUCUAAAGAUUGGGAACUCGGCGAAGGUGAGGAGUUAGGUAUAACACCUAAGUUUGAUUGUGUUAAAUCUUUUAUGGAUACCGAUGCUUUUCGUGAAUUUAGCACUAAAUAUGGACUUGACUCUGAGACAGUAGCUUCUUUCUGUGAAUCAUUUGCUACUCAUGUUGAUCUCACCAAGGAGAAGUGGCUUAAAUAUCAUCCUCCCAUUGAAGUAAAAGUAGUUGAACCUAUUAAAGUUGAAGAAAAGACUAUCACUUAUAAUGUUGACCCUAUUAUUCCUACCGCUUAUAUUGAUAAACCACCUUUCCCUGUUAGAAUAAAGGAUCAUGCUAAAGCUUCAACUAUGGUCAACAAAAGUAAUAUUAGAACACCCAAACCCUCUGAGCAAAUUAAAGUUGAACCUAGUAUUGCUAUGGUUAAAGAUUUCUUGGUCGAUAAUAUUGAUGGGCAUGUUAUUUACUUCUAUGAUGAAGUUGCUAGAAUUGCUAGACCCGAUACUAAAAAUAAACAUAGACAUGUUGUUGGCAUGCCUGUUAUAUUUGUUAAAAUAGGAAAUCAUUGCUAUCAUGGUUUAGGUGAUAUGGGUGCUAGUGCCAGUGCAAUACCUUAUUAUUUAUACGAAUAAAUUAUACACGAUAUUGCACCUGCUGAGUUAGAAGAUAUUGAUAUUACUAUUAAGCUUGCCAAUAGAGAUACUAUCUCACCUGUUGGGAUUGUUAGAGAUGUUGAAGUCCUGUAUGGCAAAAUUAAAUAUCCUACUGAUUUUCUUGUUCUUGCUUCCCCACAAGAUAACUUUUGUCCCAUUAUAUUUGGUAGACCCUUCUUCAAUACUGUUAAUGCUAAGAUAGACUGCAAAAAGGAUAUUGUUUCUGUUGGUUUAGGGGAUAUGUCUCAUGAUUUCAAUUUUGCUAAAUUUCGUAGACAGCCCCAUGAUAAAGAAUUGCCUAGUAAAGAUGAAAUUAUUGGUCUUGCUUCUAUUGUCGUGCCUCCUAAUGAUCCUUUAGAACAAUAUUUGCUAGACCAUGAAAAUGAUAUGUUUAUGAAUGAAAGAAAGGAAAUAGAUGAAAUAUUCUUUAAAUAGGGACCUAUUUUGAAACACAACUUGCCUGUCGAAAUUCUAGGGGAUCCUCCUCCACCCAAGGGUCUAUUCUCUAUGCUCUUGAGAGAAGCCACUAGUGAAACCUAUGGCCCCCGGGUCUAUUCUCAUCAUAUCAAUCUCCAUUACUUUAUUUUACUAGUUUUGCUUUUACUUUUCACUUUGCAUCUUUAUACCAAAAAUACCAAAAAUAUUAUCUCUAUCAGAUCUCACUCUCGUAAGUGACCGUGAAGGGAUUGACAACCCCUAAGUGUUGGUUGCGAGUUGCUACCGUUUUGUGCAGGUACGAGGGACUUGCGCGUGACCUCCUACUGGAUUGAUACCUUGGUUCUCAAAAACUAAGGGAAAUACUUACGCUACCGUGCUGCAUCACCCCCUCCUCUUCGGGGAAAACCAACGUUAGCUCGAGACGUAGCAAGAAGGAUUUCUGGCGCCGUUGCCGAGGAGGCCUACGCCAAGUCAAGUCAAGAUUUACUCUCCCGUCAACGAGCCAUUUCUGGCGCCGUUGCCGGGGAAGCCUACGCAAAAGUCAACAUACCAAGUACCCAUCACAAUCUCUAUCUCUCGCAUUACAUUAUUUGCCAUUUGCCUCUCGUUUUCCUCUCCCCCACUUCACCCUUGCCGUUUUAUUCGCCCUCUCUUUCCCAAUCUCCUCCUCUUUUUCCCUUUGCAUUUUGUUUGCUCGUGUGUUAGUUUGCUUGCUUGUUCGUCACUAUGGCCUUACCUAAUUUUGGUGAUCUUCACCUUAAAAGGCUAGAAGAUAUCGAAAACGAUGUCAGGAAGUUUAUGGUCUUGCAAUUUGAGCAUACUAAUUUCUUUAGAAACGAGCUUAAGGAACAAAAGAGUUUUAUGAGUUAUAUGAAUAAAGAGCUCGAUGAUAUGUCCAAAGAAUUUGAUGGUGUAAGAGCCCAAAUUGCUCAUCUUGAAAAAAUGACCGCUGAAAUUUCGGAUAUGCAAGCCACCUUAGUCAAUAAGAUGGCCGCUAAACCGAAUAACUAUGAGAAUCAAGAUGAAGAUCUAAAAGUUAUUGAUGUGUCCCCUAUUAAAUCGUUGUUUUGCAAUAUGAAUCUUGAUGAAUCUAAUUAUGAUCUUCCCUUACCUAGAAGGCGUUCUAAGAAUUCUGAGUUUUUAGAUCCUGAUGAUGAAAUUGAUAAAAAAGGGAUUGAAAGAAAUAAAAAUCUAGAUAUUGCUAAACCCACUAUUUUGGAUCUCAAGGAAUUUAACUAUGAAAAUUGCUCUUUAAUUGAUUGUAUUUCAUUGUUGCAAUCCGUGUUCAAUUCUCCUCAUGCUUAUAGUCGAAAUAAGGCCUUUACCGAACACAUUGUUGACGCCUUAAUGCAAUCUUAUGAAGAAAAGCUUGAGUUGAAAGUUUCUAUCCCUAGAAAACUCCAUGAUGAGUGGGAACCUACAAUUAAGAUUAAAAUUAAAAAUUAUGAGUUUCAUGCUUUGUGUGAUUUGGGUGCUAGUGUCUCUACUAUCCCCAAAGCUUUGUGUGAUUUGCUAGAUUUCCGUGACUUUGAUGAUUGCUCUCUAAACUUGCAUCUUGCGGAUUCCACUAUUAAAAAGCCUAUGGGAAGAAUUAAUGAUGUUCUUAUUGUUGCAAAUAGGAAUUAUGUGCCCGUAGAUUUUAUCGUUCUUGAUAUAGAUUGCAAUCCUUCAUGUCCUAUUAUUCUUGGUAGACAUUUCCAUAGAACGAUUGGUGCAAUUAUUGAUAUGAAGGAAGGGAUAUUAAAUUCCAAUUUCCCUUAAAGAAGAGCAUGGAACACUUCCCUAGAAAGAAAAUAAAAUUACCAUAUGAAUCUAUCAUGACAGCCACUUAUGGAUUGCCUACCAAAGAUGGCAAUACCUAGAUCUAUCCUUGCUUUUAUGCCUAGCUAGGGGCGUUAAAUGAUAGCGCAUGUUGGGAGGCAACCCAAUUUUAUUUUGUGUUUUUUGUUUUUGGUUUUUUUAGGAAUAAAUAAUCCAUCUAUAUUCUGUUUAGAUGUGGUUUUAUCUUUUAAUUAGUGUUUGUGCCAAGUUAAACCUAUUAGAUCUUCUUGGAAGAUAGUUAUUUGAUCUUGCUGUAAUUUCCAGAAUCUUUGCGCUCAGUGCCUGAAUUGUCAAAAAUCACCAGAAUGUGAUAGAAUAGUGAUUCCAAUUGAUGCUGAUCAAUAAAAAAAUUUCCCAGGUCUUCUAAUUUUGGUAGAAUUUUUUGGGUUCCAUGAUGGAGCUGUACAGGUCAGGGUGGACGUCGACCAGUUUGCUCUCCCUAAUGAUGCUUGCCACCUCCUUGACGACGUCAAUCAUCCUGCUAGAGACGCUCAGCUCAUUCUCCAUCAAGCCGCCCCUCUUCAUCUUCCUAUCAAGCACAAGAACGUGAUCCCCACCCUUAUCAGUACCAUUAAGGAUGAUUGUCUUUGACUCCUGAGUGUCUAGAUAGUCAUGCGUAGGCAAGCCGAGCGGCUCACCGGAGCCAAUGGCAUGCUUGCACGUUGCCACCCGAAAGGAGAAGAUCGUCGUGAUAAUCCCCAAGUGCAAGGAAUCAUCGUAGCACUUUCCAGUGAAGGUGUUAAGUAUGGAGUGUCGAAACCACAAGGAGAUACAAGUAGGAUUGAUAUUUCCCUCACGUCGAUGCCACUAUUACAUAUCUAGAAACAAGAAAUAAAUCUACGCCACAAGUAUAAGGAGAUAGCUUUGUAAGAUAAUAAAGAACGUAUAAAUAAAGGUUAGGUGUUAUCUAAGUAAAAUUACAAUAAAAUACAAAUAGCGAAUGUGGAAAACCGGUGGUAGGAUGUGCCGAAUUGUCCCAAGGCAAAUAGCUAAGUUACUAAACCGAUUAUCAUCAUUGCGGUUUUAUAUGUGGGAGAGGCCUCUGCUAACAUACUAUCCGUAUUUGGAAUUAUAUGUAUGUAUGAUUAGAACUAUUAUGAAGCAUUCGCCAAUACUAACAUGUUCAUUAAGGUAAACCUAACCAUAUCAUGAAGAUAUAUUGGUCCCCCUUCAAUCCUGUAUGCAUCAAUUUCUACACUUAGCCUCGAUGUAAAUAUAACAUGAAUACUUCAAAAUAUUAUAAAUAUUUUGAAGAUGUAUCAUGUUGCAUUUGCGCAUAGUUCUGGAUGGGUGUGUUGAGGAACUCUGCGACCUUGGGGUAAGAAGGAAACACAUCAUGGUUAGUUGUGUCUGGCAUGGUAGACGGGCUUAAACUAGUGGUACGUGCGCUAACCGUGAUGUGGCCUUGGUAGUGCUUUGUCUCCGAAGGAUCAAGGAAGUGUCCUAAUCCCGUGAUGCAUGCUAAGGUAUCUGAGCUUGGACACUGUCAUCUAUCUUGCUCUACACUUCCUGAGGUGGUGGUAGACUAGGGUCGAGGUGACCACUUGGCCACAUAACUGAACACCUACUUGACAACAGAGUUCAAGUGCACCUCCUUGAAGCCCUUGUCAGCCCUCACCUCACUGGUUAUGAUAUCACACAUCUUGUUAAGCAUGAAUGCAGAUAGGAACGGCUACCAUUUCAUGGAGUUACCCUUCAAGGCUCCUUUGAUUCAAGGAAUUCUAUAGGAUUUUUGGAGGAUUGAAAUCCUUUGAAUUUUUUCCUACGUUUGUCCUUUGAUUCAUAGGAUUGAAUCCCAUAUGAAUUUUUCCAAUGAAAUAUUUUGUACUACAUUUCAUAGGAAAUCUAACAUCCACUCUAACCUCCUUUUACAAUUCCUUUGCUUUUUCUGUGAAAUCAAGCGCUCCUUGCUAAUCCUAUAGGAUUCAAGUGGGCAUGACACUCCAAUCCUAUACUUUUUCUGUUCCCGCGUUUUCAAAAUCCUGCGAAUCAAAGAGGUCCUCAAUCCUUUUUGCCUUGGUGACUACCUUUUGUGCACCGGCAUUAGGCACAACCAACACAAAUGGUGGAGCUAUUACAGAUUCCUCAAAGAGAUCUGAAUCUGAAGGCAUUUGCUCCUUGAUGAUAGGCCAGGAGUACUCAACGUAGGACGCCGGGAACUGACUCUCGGGCAGGACAAUGGGUUGACUAAGCUCUUGCGUGGUCAUGUCCUAUAAGCGUUAGCGUCAAUAGGUGUGGAUCACACUACCCAGAGACAGUACGGAUGAGCACUAAGCAUGGAAAAAAUAAACGAGCACUACACAUGGACAACAUGAACGAGCACUACAUGUAGACAAUAUGAGUGAGGACUACAAAUAGACAGUAAGCAUAGUACACAUGGAUCAUCUAGUUCAACACACCACCAUAUGACUGUUCUUCAAUCUCAAAGCAUACCAUGGAGCCAACACACUUCCACACAUCUACAUACUUGCGGACACUACACAUGAACUUGCAUGCUACCAAUCCAUCACCACUAGCUAUCAAUCCUUGAUGACAUGGAAACAACACCUAGCAUCCUAUAAAAUCCAUCACCACUAACUAUCACAACAUCACAUUCUCACAGAUCGACAUUGUAGAAUGCUACAACAUGGUCACAGAUCUAAUCCUAUCACAUGCUCACAGAUCAAGCUAAAACGAGCAGACAUGAAUCGAUGGCGUCGUGUAUCGCCGGCCGGAGAAGAAGCGCCUCUUACCUGCUCAUCGGUGUCUAUCCGUGCAGACUGAUGUGUGGACUAAUGUAUGCAGGCAACCAAACACACCUCCAAGUGUGUGGACUGAUGUAUUUGCUUUGGUCAUUUUUACUCCGCGUAUUAGAGUUGUGUCAAGUUAAAUCUUAUAAAGUUUGAUCAAAUUUAUAUUAAAAAAACAUCAACAUCUACAACACCAAAUAUAUAUACUACUCCCUCCAUUCUGAAAUAUAGUGCCCCCGCGCUUCCCGAUGUCCAACUUUGACCACAAAUUCAACCAACGAGACCGACUGCGGUGGGCGGGAGAAAAAAUCAUAUAGUUAAAAACUUCUUUUGAAUACGAAUUCACUGGUAUAAUUUUUGCUCCCGCCGCAGUCGGUCUCGUUGGUUAAAUUUAUGGUCAAAGUUGAAGCACGGAAAUAGAGGAAGCACUAUAUUUUGGAACGGAGAAUGUAUCAAACCACAUUUCAUAAUGAAUUUAGCAAUAUUGACAAUAUUUGGUAUUGUUAAUAUCGAUACUUUUUUUCUCUACGUUUGAUCAAAAAUAAAAAUACUUUGACUUUACACAAAGAAAAUUAUAUGCAGACACGCGCCUCAAAUAUCUAAAUUUGCUUGAACGUAAAAAAACAAACUGAAUUUGCUCGCUCAUGGUCACGAGAGAGCGGAGAGCCGAGGCUGUGCCGUUCCGCUGCUCUGAUUGGCCCGCGGCCCCCUCCCACGGAUCACGCCCCCCAGGCGAACAUCCACCGUCCACGCCGCCUCCAUCCAACGGCCCGCGCCCCGCAUCACGCGGAUCGCCCCCCGACCCCCGCGGGUAUAUAAUCCCAGCCGCAGGGCCUCCAUUUUCAAACCACCUCAGCAGCACAGCUCAGCUUCCACCCACUCUCAGCCCCUCCCGCCGGAGCCCAAGCAAGGAAGCAAGAUGGACGGCAGCAAGGCGAAGAAGGUGGCGGCGAAGAAGUUCGGCGGGCCGAGGAAGAAGUCGGUGACCAAGUCCAUCAAGGCCGGGCUCCAGUUCCCCGUCGGCCGCAUCGGGCGCUACCUCAAGAAGGGCCGCUACGCCCAGCGCGUCGGCUCCGGCGCCCCCGUCUACCUCGCCGCCGUCCUCGAGUACCUCGCAGCCGAGGUACGCACACCACGCCACCGUUAUACUCCUCGUCGACGCCCUACUCCUGCCUCUCUCCCCGGUCUGAACCAAGCCGCCGAUCUUGUUUUGCAGGUGCUGGAGCUGGCCGGGAACGCCGCCAAGGACAACAAGAAGACCCGCAUCGUGCCGAGGCACCUGCUGCUGGCCAUCCGCAACGACCAGGAGCUCGGGAGGCUGCUGUCCGGCGUCACCAUCGCCCACGGCGGCGUGAUCCCCAACAUCAACCCGGUGCUGCUCCCCAAGAAGGCCGCCGAGAAGGCUGAGAAGGCCGGCACCGCCGCCAAGUCGCCCAAGAAGGCCACCAAGUCCCCCAAGAAGGCCACCAAGGCCUAGAUCCUAGUAGUGUGCGACCGUGCCGGUGGUGCUCCGGCAGCCCUCGUGUGCCUAGUGUCUGUGUUAAUUAAGUUAGCUGUGGUGUGUUCCAGAGAGUGCUCAAGCUUGUACUUUUGCUUUGCCCCGCCAUGUAACCGUGAACGAAGAGGAAGCAUCUUGCUUCCUCUGUUCUUCUGAAUCAAUCUGGUCUCUAAUGCAGUGUUUGUUAAAAUGUCACUGAAUUUCUGUUCUAUUUUAUCUGUUCUAUUUUAUCUGUUUUAUUUUAUCACUGAAAAUUUGUAUCUAGGAACAGUGUUCCUCUCUGCAUUGUUGCAAGUUACAAAUAGAAUCUGAAACGUGACAAAUACAAAUUAGAUGGUUGUGUACAGAUUUUUGUUCUUAUGCCUGACUUGAAGGCGCAAGAGGCUACAAAAUAACAUUUCAAGAUUGUUUGCUGGUGCAUGCUCGAGUCACACCAACAAAUCUGCAGUAGUUAGUACUCCAACUGUCCCAAAAAGUUUGUGUUACAUUUGCUUAGAUAUGGAUGAAUGUAGACACGUUCUAGUGUUAGACACAUCCGAAUCUAGACAACUGUAAGACAAGCUUUUUGGGAUGGAGGGUUUAGUAUUUUGCAAGGCAACAGUAUGUCUAAAUGGCCAUUGUGUUUGUUGAUUUAUAAGUACGGGAGAGACAUGGUUCUUGUUUUGCAACUGAAUGACCAUUAUGUGUGUUGAUUUAUAAUUAAUGGAGUACUAGAUAUGCCAAUCUAUUUUCUGUAGCUGAAAUUUAUGUCAUUCUGGUUGAAAUUUUGCCAUCAAGAACCAUUUCUGUUUUUAUGGUGUGAAGGAAUCAGCAGCCAUGACAUACUUGAUUUUCUGACCAUGAGAAAUUGACAAUGAAUUUCUUAUGCCUGACUUGAAUCGUCAAGAGAAUCAACAACAUCAAGGUAACAACAACACAGGGGCACCAAGGCCACAAAAGAAUAUUUCGCCACUCUUUCUUGUGCUAACUACUACAUUCAAGGUCAUAAAACCAGUGGUACAUAUGCCAACACCAACAAAAUAACAGUACUUAGUUCGUAAGGUGAAGUGUCUCAUUCUCCGGUUUUCAUCAACAUCGCCCCGGUCCGACGACAAGGAGCAGCGCGUCGAGCCGAGCCUCCAGGCAGCAGCCUACCUCCGCAGGCCCUCCACGACGUAAGUAGCAUACAGAUCCCUAUGAACAGAACACCAAAGAAGACCGGCGUCAGCUCAGUACCAAGAUCAUUGAGGACACAGCCAUGCUGAGGAUUCAAGAAAUAAACACUCACAUGGAAUGCUGAAUGGCCUCAUAAGCAGCAGUCGCAGGCAGAAAGUCGUUCACAGCAACCUCCUUGUUCUCAUUCUUCUUGUCUGGAUGUCCAGGUUAAAGAAAUCAUUUGAUCGAAGAAUUGGCAUAUAUAAUCAAACUUGCAUUGCCUUGACCAUUUAUGCAUGAUAUAAGAUCCAUGCUUUAGCUAUCAACAAACUACAAGCACAAAUGUACAUAGCUGUGUACGAGUAGUGCAUCAAAGAGGCGAGGACCAGUAUUUUUUCCUAGAAAUAUUCUGCAUGUUCAAGCCUAGGGGACUUUUGACAAGUAAAACCAAGAUAAGCAGACUUUUUUUGGGUGGAAUACUUGCUAGUCAUAUCUGAAUAUAAGUGGAUCGACAAGGAUACAGUCCUCAAAGAAGCGUCUGAUUUCAGCCAACCGAUGAGGUGGGAGCUCCUUGAUAUCAUUGAAAUGCUUGUAUUCAGGGUCAUCAGCACACACUGCAAUGAUCUUAUCAUCUGCUUCUCCCUGUUCAAAUAAAUAGUGAUCAGCAUCUCUGUCUUCUUUGGACUGCAUGGUUAAGAGAUGAAAUUAUGAAAACAAACCUGGUCAAUCAUAGGCAUGAGGCCAAUGGCCUUUGCGCGAAGGAAACAGCCCGGCACAACAGGCUCCUGUAUCAACAAAAAUGAACAUUUUAAACACUGACCCAAACAAGUGUAGAAGUGACAAAUACAAAGAUUUGCAAAUGCAGAUUGCUAAUGUUCUACAACCAACUAACAGAUUAUAAAGUGGGAAGCACAACGACCUUCUGUCCAGUGUUCACGAAAGGGAAGUAGUAAGAUAUACCUGCAUAAUAACUAGCACAUCCAUCGGAUCACUGUCAUCACACAGUGUGCGGGGAAUGAAUCCAUGGUUGUGAGGGUACACCACUGAUGAAUAAAGCACACGGUCCACCUGCACACAUGCAUAUAGCCAACGAAAACCAUAAGAACGAUUGGGCAAGAGAGAUUCAAAAUAGGAGGGAAAAUGAAUAGCAAUGCUUUACCAUUAUCAGUCCAGUUUUCUUGUCAAGUUCAUAUUUAACCUUGCUGCCCCUAGGUAUCUCAGUGACCUGGCAUAAAAUAGCAUCCAUUUUUUAGUUUGUGGUUCAGAACUCAUGAGCAUUUAGGACAAUAACUAAUUAAACAAAAUUGAAAAGCUUGAAAUGACAUAGGUGGCUUAAAAGAUGAUAUACUAUUUUAUGAGGUGGAACCCUUGCUUUUCAAGUUAAGGGAAGGAAAAGGGCUAUGCUAUUGAUAUGGACUUGUAGCAUAAAUAUACAACAAUUUCUGUUAGAUAAUUAUAAAACGAAAUUAGAAGGAAAGGAAAAUCAACAGGAAUAUAUUAGGGCGGCCUUACACAGUUGAAGAUAGUUGGUGCAUCAGGGCCUGCACAAAGAAGUCCAAAACAUAAGUUUUCAGAAGACGGAAACAAUGAAACCGAUGUUUUGUGAAGAUCAAAUGUCAAUACCUAUCUCAAGAUCAUGCCAUGAAUGCGCUGAACCAGGUCUCCGGGUCAUGGAUGACAGUAUUCUUUCAUUAAGAACAGGAGGCUUAAUGGGUGUGCUUGCCACCUUGACCUUCUCCGCUGCUUCAAUAGCAGGAGCCAUCACAAAAACCUGAAAGCAAGUGUAUGUUUGCUUAUUUUAGAAAACUAAAUACUUAAAUUCCAAUUAAAGCUGUCCAACAGAAGUUAAGUCAAUAUCAUCAUAGAAGAUACAGCAAUGUUAACUGAAAAAACAAUCGCCAAGCUUUGAUUUUUUAGAAAACCAUUAAAUAAGUAGGACUAGUGACUGUUACAGAAACCACUAAUUAUAAGCAAGGCUAGUGACUCUUCCUUUUUUUGGGGGGAGAAACCGUUAAUAAAUAAGACUGGCCUGCCUAAUCUGUGUACACAAAACAGUGCCCUAAGAAUGAACCAUUUCGUAUGAAACACGCCUAUCACCUACAGGAAUCAUGGCGAGUUGACGACGCAAAUACAUUUCAGCUCCCCCCUUCCCCGGUCAGAUUCAUUCGGCCAUUUCGCCAGAGCACUGGCCAAAACGGCCGCCGGAAUCGACCCACUGGCCCAACUUUGGAGGCGAAAUGAGCAGGCUGCAGGCGCCGGCCGCUCCUCUCGACCCAAACAUCCAGCGGCGGCAAGCGGGAGCCACAGCGCGGGCACCGCGUGGCCGGAGAGGGCACGUCGGGGAUGUAAAGCAGACGGAUGAGAAGGAGAGAGACGCACCUGCUGCAGACGGCGGGGGAGCAAACCCUAGCUAGCUUCCGGUGGAGGGAGAGCAGGGGAAGCAGGGAGGCGUUCGUAUGGUAUCGUAUCGUACUUCCCGCCGCUUCUCUGCACCAAACCAUCUAUGUUUUUUCUUCUCCGGUUUAAGAGCAUCUCUAGCAGAUCCUAAACAAUCAGACCAAAAAAAUUACGGUUUUGAUUGAUAAAGAGACACCAAUCGAAAAAUUUACGGUUUUGAUUGAAGAAGAACACCAAUCGAAUAGAUCCUGUAAAACGAGAUAACCCGCAGGUCCCCGGAUAUUAUCACCUACAUACCCCGUAUUGCAGUUUUGGAGUCGGUUUUCUGAGGAAUGAGUCAGCGCCUCGUGCCGGCGACUCCCGAGCUCGAUUUCAUGAAGAGGAGACUCGAUUCCUGGCGAGGAGGUUCGAUACUGACUGAUUUCUUGGUUAAGCACGUCAACUCAAACAUUUUUAGGGCAAUUUAUGUUAGCACAAAGAUGACAAAUUUAGCUAGCAAGCAUGCUAAUUUCCUGGCAAAAAAAAGUAAGGUGGAUUUGCCAUGAUUAUCAAAUAAACUUGUCAUUCUCGGCAAACAUAAAUUGACAAUAAAAAUAUUCGAUUCGCCAUGGUAAAAAAUCUAACGUAAGAUUUGUAGUUGAGUCCGUUUUAAUAGGCCUAAACUAUGGAUGCUAGUUUCUUUUUUAAGACUAAGCAUGACACGGGUCGGAGAAGACUUGCUCCAUGCACAACAAGAGUGCAAAGACUAUAUCUUGCUCAUAGCGAGUAUAGUGUCUGUCUCGCCUGAAGGAUUUCCUUGUGUAAUUAAUGGCCCAACCCAUUUUUUUCGUUCGCUGGGUUUCGACUGAGACACUUGUGGUUUUGUUCCAUCGUUGCACUCUUUUGGCUCAUUUUCGUUCUUUUUAGUUUUCUUUGUUUCUUCACUCGUUUUCUCGAGUUUCCUAUUUUCUUUGUUUUUGCACCGGGUUUUCAUUUAUUUCUCGGGUUUCACUAGGUUUCAUUUUCUUAACUUUUUACACGCACAAUUAUUAUUUUUCAAUUUUUUUUUGCAAAGCGAUUUCUAUAAUAGAUAAAUCCAGAAUACUUUUUGAAAUAUAAUAAAAACAGUAAUAAUUACAAAAUAUGAAAAAGGAUGAAAAAAGGAACGUAGAAGACCCGCUGUCUGCAUUGGGCCAGCCCAUGCAAGAGGCGAGGCGUGGUACUGUCAAGAGCAAACCUCCUAAGAGCAUCUGCUGCCGGACUUACUAUUUUGACUGGGCAGACGGAAUGAUAGUAGUUUUCAAUUGUCUCUUAUUUAUUUAUUUUUUGUUCUAUUUGGUUUUCUUUGUUUCUUCACUCAAUUUUUCUUGUUUUCUUUUCUCUUCUUUUUCAUCAUUUUUUGUUUAUUUCUCGGUUUUUUGUUUGUUUUGUUUUUCAUUGGUAUUCUUCAUUUCUUUCUUGUUUUUCAUCGAGAGCAAACCUCCUAUAAGCAUCUACACCCGGACUCCCUAUUUUGACUGGCGGGCUGGCCUGAUUAAUGAUUAUUGUCCGAUUAGCUUUUAAAUGUCUUUUUCUGUUCUCUUUGGUUUAUGUUGUUUCUUCACCCAUUUAUCUGGUUUUCUGUUUUGUUUUGUUUUUUCACCGGGUUUCUUCUUUAUUUCACGAUUUUCUUUGGUUUCUUAUUUGUUUUGUUUUUUCAUCAGUUUUUAUGUUAAUUUCUUGGUUUUCACCACUACUUUUUUAUUUCAGUUUUACUACUUGUUUCUUUUGUACGCUUUUUCAAUACAUGUCUAUGUUUUUCAGUGCGCAAUACACAUUCCUAGUGUACAAAUGAAACAAAAAUUUGAUACAUGUUUUUUUUCAAAUAGACGAUGUACGCUUUUCUUUUAAUAUGGUUUUGAACAUUUUUCUGAAUACAUGAUCAACCUUUCUAAAAAUACAAAAUGAACAUUUAUAAAUCAAUAAACAUUUCUUUUAACUAUGCAUUGUUUUAAACAUUCUAUAGACAUGCAAGAAAAAUCAUGGGAAUCUUUUUAAAACAUGUGAAUAAUUCUUUAUAAUGCCACGUCACUUUUUAAACCUGCGCAAACAUUUAUUUUACAUUGUCUAGACAUUUUUUGUGUACAGUUUUUAAUACUACAUGAUUAACAUUUUUUCAAACAUAUAUUUUGAUGUCAUGUUUCAUACACAUUCUACAGUUCACGUAUACACCAGGAAUAUUUUUUAUAUACAUGUUUAACCUUCCAAAUACAUGAUUAACGUUUUUGAAAAAUCAUUUUUAUGCCUUAUUUUCAUGCACAUUAAACAUUCUUUCCAUACAUCAGAACAUUUUUUGUAUAUUUGUUUAACAUUUUUUUACGUACAUGUUUAAUAUUUUUUAAAGAUAUACUCCCUACGAUAGUGUCAAAAACGCUCUUAUAUUAUUGAACGGAGGGAGUAGUUUUAUGUUUGCUUUUUUCAUACAUUUUUUGUGUACUUGCGAGGGCCCAAGCCGGGCAGGGGGUGGCCGUGCUCGCAACCCCAUGAAAUUAAAGCACCUCCAUGGCCAAGCUCCCACAUGGAAGCACCUACAUGGGAGGAGGCGAGUCAAGGCGGAGGAGGCCAGCGUUAGGAGGGCCAGGCGAGGGCCCAAGUGGGACGGGAGUGGUCGUGCUCGCAGCCCUAUUAAAGCACCUCCGUGGCAAAGCUCCCACAUGGGAGCACCUACACGGGAGGAGGCAAGUCGAGGCGAGGGAGCCCAGUGUUAGGAGGGCCGUGCGAGGGCCCGAGACGAGCGGGGGCGGCGAUGGGAGCCAUAGCGCUUCGUCCAGUGGCGCUCGGCUUGUUGGGAAAGAUGAAGAAAAAAAAGAUUUACGGUAUAGUUUUACGGGAUCUGUUUCGCACGAACCUUCACGAUACCAUAAAAUCGUUUUUGGGGUAAUGGGAAUGCAUUUUCCAGUUUCAAUUUUUCCGGCAUCUGCUAGAGAUGCCCAAAGGCUAAGCAUGUCAACUCAAAAAAAAUUAGGGCAAUUUAUCUUGACACGAGGAUGACAAAUUUAGUUAGGAAGCAUGCUAAUUUCAUGGCAAAAAACAAUGUGAGGUUGGUUUGACAUGAUUAUCAAAUCAACUUGUCAUCUCGGCGAACAUAAAAUGCCAAUAAAAACAUUCGAUUUGCCAUGGUAAAAAAACUGACGUAAGAUUGGUAGUUGAGUCCUUUUUAAUAGUUCUAAACUGUCGAUGCUAGGUUUUUUUCAAGACUAAGCACGGCACGGUUCAGAGAAGACUGCUCCAUACCCAACAAGAGCGCAAAGAUAUAUCUUGCUUAUAGCGAUUAUAGUGUCCAUAUCGCCUGUUGGAUUUUCUCGUGUGAUCAAUGGUCCAACGCAUUUUUUUUUUCGUUCGCUAAGUUUUGACCAAGACACUGGUGGUUUCGUUUGGUCGUUGGCUCAUUUUUGUAGUCUUUUUCCCUGGUUUUGUCUUCCUUGUUCUUUUUGGUUUUCUUUGUUUCUUCACUCGUUUUCUCGGGUUUUCUGUUUUCUUUGUUUUUGCACCGGGUUUUCAUUUAUUUCUCAGGUUUCAUUUGUUUUACUUUUCACAUACACAAUUAAUAUUUUUCAAAUUUGUUCGCAAAGUGAUUUCUAUAAUAGAUAUAUUUAGAAUACUUUGAAAUAUAAGAAAAAAAUAAAAACAUUAAUUACAAAAAUAUAUGAAAAAGGGAAUGUAGAAGACCUGCUGGCCGCACUAGGCCGGCCCAUUCUAGCGCAUGCCUGAGGCGAGGCGUGGUACUGUCAAGAGCAAACCUCCUAAGAGCAUCUACAACCAGACUUCCUAUUUUGACAUAGCGGAUGACACGGCAGUGAUUUUCAAAUGUCUUUUAUUUAUUUAUUUAUUUAUUGUUCUCUAUGGUUUUCUUUGUUUCUUCACUCAAUUUAUCUGUUUUCUUGUUUUUUCAUUGUUUUUCGUUUGUUUCUCGGUUUUUAUUGUUAUUUUCAUUGUAUUCUUUUCUUUCUUGGUUUUCACUAGUAUUUUUUACCUUUGGUUUCUUUCUUCUUUCUUUUGUAGGUUUUUCUUUGAUACAUGUCUACUUUUUUACCAGUACACAAUAUACAUUUUUGGUGUACAGAUGAAUCAUUAUUUUGGUACAAGUUGAAUUUUUCCCAUAUAUUUGUUUGUAUACACGGGGAAUAAUUUUCAUAUAUAUGUUUUGAUGUUUAGUUUUCAUACACAUUAUACAAUUUUCAAUAAACUUUAAUAUUUUUCAAAUACUCAAUUAAUAUUUUCAAGUCUGUAUGUGAAGUGUUAUUUAUUAUAUAUAUAUAUAUAUAUAUUAAUAUUUCAAAAUAUUAGUAAAAGUAAAAAAUAAAGCAAAAAUGUGAAAAAGGAUGAAAAAUAAUAGCGCUGAAGACAUGCUAUCCGCGCUGGGCCGACCCAUUUUGGUGGCUGCCUGAGGCGAGACAUGCUGCUAUCAAGAGCAAACCUCCUAUGAGCAUCUACAACCGGACUCCUUAUUUUGACCGGCGGGACGGCCUGAUUAUUGUCCUAUUAGUUUUUAGAUGUCUUUUUUUGUUCUCUUUGGUUUACGUUGUUUCUUCACCCAUUUCUCUGGUUUUCUGUUUUCUUUGUCUUUUCACCGGGUUUCUUCUUUAUUUCACGAUUUUCUUUGGUUUCUUAUUUGCUUUGUUUUAUCAUCAGUUUUUAUGUUAAUUUCUUGGUUUUCACGAGUGCUUUUUUUGCUUCAGUUUUCUUACUUGUUUCUUUUGUAGCCUUUUAAUUAACACGUGUCUAAGUUUUUUAGUACACAAAUAUACAUUCCCAGUGUACAAAUGAAACAUAAUUUUGAUACAUUUUUUUCAAAUAUACAAUGUACAAUUUUCUUUUCAUAUGGUUUUGAACACUUUUUUUAAUACAUGGUCAACCUUUCAAAAAAACAAAAUGAACAUUUAUAAAUCAUUAAACAUUUCUUUUAACUAUGCAUUUUUUAAAACAUUCAAUAGACAUGCAAGAAAAAUCAUGGGCAUUUUUUUUAGAACAAGUGAGUAUUUCUUUAUAAUGCCAUGUCAUUUUUAAACCUAUGCAAACAUUUUUUUACAUUGCAUAACAUUUUUUGUGUAAAAUUGUUUUAAUACAUGAUUAAUAUUUUUUCAAACAUAUAUUUUGAUGUCAUGUUUCAUACACAUUCUACAAUUUACGUAUACACCAGGAAUAUUUUCUAUAUACAUGUUUAGCCUUCCAAAUACAUGAUUAAUAUUUUUGAAAAAACAUAUUUUUUAUGUAUUUUAUUCCACACACAUUAUACAUUCUUUCCAUACAUCAGGAACAUUUUUUGUAUAUUUCUUUAACAUUUUCACGCACAUGUUUAAUAUUUGUUAAACAAAUAGUUUUUAUGUCUGCUUUUUUCCGUACAUUUUUUGUGUACACGCGGAACAUUUUUACACAAGUAACCUUUUCCAAAUACAUGAUUAACACAUUUUCAUAUAUAUAUUUUGAUGUCUACUUUUUAAUACACAUUGUACAAUUUUGUAUACAUUACAAACAUAUUUCUAUAAAUGUUUUAAUUUUUUUUGAAUGCGUGAUUAAUAUUUUUCAAAUUUGUAUGCAAAUUUAUUUUUAUAAUAUAUAUUUAGAAUAUUUUGAAAUAUAGAGGAUGUAAAAAAGCAGAAAACAAAAAAAAAUGUGUAAAAGGAUGAAAAAUAGCGUUGAAGACCACCUGUCUGUGCUGGGGCGGACAAUUCUGGCAUAUGGGUAGGCGGGAUGUGCUACUGUUAAGAGCAAACCUCCUAACCGCAUCUACAACCGAACUUCCCAUUUUGACUGGGCAGACAACCCGGUCAGUGUGCGAUUAGUUUUUUCCGACCCAGCUGGCCUCCUCAAACGCCCCCUAUACAUCUGGGCUGCCCGGUGCUCCUCGUAUCUAGCUCAUAUAUGAGGCGGAUAUGGGGUGGACCGGAUAAGACCGCAAUCAUCCUAGCCCAUGCUGGCCCGCACCAACCACAACCAAUCCAUACUAAAAACUUCCACCCGUACCAAACCCUACCUCACUCUCUCACUCUCCGUGUGCUCCCCGUCGAUUCCCCUCCCCUCUCGUCCCCCUCCUCUCCCAAUGUCAUGCACCGGCAGCGGCGACAUUGGGUCUGACAGCGAUGGCGACCCCACCGACUGGGAGGCCCUCGUCCACGAGGCAAAGGUGGACGACGAUGAGGAGUUAGCCCUCUGCAUCGUGCUGCAUCGGCAACAGGUGGACCGGGGUGGUAGUGAUGAUUCGAUAUUUUGUCACUCUUAUAAGAGGGUUUUGAUGUGCUUUUUGAAAGUUUUCGAUAAUUCUCGUGUGUUUCUAACGCUAAUCCUUUGAGAAAGAAGAAAACUUGCCUUUUUCAUUGAUGUGUAGGAAUAUACAUUUUUGAAAGGAAACCAAUCAAUAUCCCAUCAAAUGAAGUCAUAUGGAGCAAUUUUCCUUUUGGGCGAAAGUUCAUUAGAGGCAUCAAAGCGCAAGAUGACGCAUGGCACGAGCGCACCUGCUCGUACCAUGAUGUCGCCACCACCUUGCCUGUACAAGCAACUUCUAUGAAGGGAACAACACCGAAUACAAAGAGGAGCCACCGCCACCACAUCCAUAAAUAGAAAGAGAGAAGAGAUCAGGAGAAGAAGAACUCCCAAAGAUCCGUCCAGUCUCUUUCUCCCCAUCCCAUUUUCAUGCAUUGCGAUCAUCACCACAGGAAGAGGAUUCCCAAAAUUAGGGUUUGUAACUCUUUUUCAUAUCCAUCUUGAGAUCGUGACUCGUUUAAUCACCUAUCUUAUUGCGAAUUUUUGUGUUACUAUUUAGAUGAUUUCCCUUUGUUCUAUACGGUUUUUGGCUAUCCUCCUCUCAUGCGUGAGUAAUCCACCUAGACGUGGGAGAUGUAGAGGAUUGGUGAGAUUCAUUUGUGCCUAUUCUAUAUAUCGUCAUUUGUUGUAAUAGUUCUAUGAUUGUUCAGUAAGUUGUUUAUCUGUUAUGAACACAAUGCGUGUUGUCCAAUGUAAGGGCUCUCAGGCAAAAUGAUUCGAAGCCUACACAUGCGAGACAUAUUGAUUAGCGAGUCCGUGACCUCCAGGUGGCGUGUGUUGGUAUCUACAAGGACCGAAGACAAUAAAUGAGAUAACAGGAAUCCACGAAAUCUAAUGCGUUGUUCCAGUCUUACGACCUUAGUUGCAGAAACGAUUAUGUUAUGGCAACGUCAAAGUAGGAUUGUAGGGGAGAACAAUUUGGACAUCAAACACGGUGCCGUAUCGGCCUUGUCACCGCUGUAGUCACCCAUAGUGUACUCCUCCACCCCUCGCUCUUGCGCCGAGAUGAGUCAAUGUUUCAAGGCAGCACACUCCGGCUCAUUGUGUCGCAAUGCCGCGAUGGUUCAACACUAUGAUUAGGGUACCAGUAGGAAGGAGACCGAGAGUACUCGUUAGUGACCUGGACAUGGAUGCGCAAUGCGACAGCGUCAAGAGCAGCGACGAACCAUGUUUUGUAACGAUGAGGGGCAAUACAACAAGGGUUCAAUCUAGAGCAUACUGGGAGAGGGCAUAAUCCAAAGAAAUUUGAAGGUGGGCCCAAAUAUGAGAAUAGAGGGGAAAACCAAUCGGUGUUAUAUUCUAUAUACUUCACCCAUUCGAUUAAAUAUUGACCAUAAAUUAGACUAAACAAACAUGGGUAUAUGUGAUAAAAAUUACAUCAUCGAAUCCGUACUCAAAAGAAGUUUUAGUGGUACAAUUCAUGGAGUAAAAGAAAACAUUGUUCUAAUUUAUGGUCAAAGUUAAAUUUUUAGAUGUGCGCACGCGUUAUUCACUAAAAUGGAGGGGAUAUAAUUGUCACUCAAACAUGUGCUAGUUUACCAGAGUCAAAGAAAUGAUCAAAAUGGCAAAGGAAAAGAUGUUCCAUCAAGCUCCUAAAAUACGUAACGUAAUCGCCAGGGGAGAGAGUGGGCAUUCUCCGGCCUUAAACAGCGAACACCCUUUUUCCUCCACCCAGACGGCCACACCUGCUGGUGACGGGGGAGCCAAACCCAAGAAGCGGCGGGCGGAAAGGGGAGGGGAGAGGAGAGGCGGCAGCAGCCAGCCGGCGGAGAUGGCGGCGGCGCCGCCCAAGGCCUGGAAGGCGGAGUACGCCAAGUCCGGGCGGUCCUCGUGCAAGUCCUGCAAGUCCCCCAUUGCCAAGGACGCGCUCCGCCUCGGCAAGAUGGUCCAGGCCACCCAGUUCGACGGCUUCAUGCCCGUGCGUAACGCCAUCUCCCUCCUCCCCCCUCCCCUUCCUCCACCCCGCCCCUCCCCGCCAUGAACCCCUCAUCGCCCCGCGGGCGGAUCUAUCUUUGACCGACCCCUCACGGCUCCGCGGGGGUAGGGUUUUGGGGCGGUUUAGCGUUCUUGUUUUUCUUUUCCGGUGGGUCGGGGGCUCCCGAUUGGAUUCGGAUUAGAUGAAUCCAAUCCGAUGGCGGCUUCGCGUGCGGCAUGCACUGAGUCGAUCUGACGGGUUCGGUUUUGGUCUGAUUUCUGAACCUGACUCGUUCUUGGUAGUGGUUUGGUGAGUCUGGUCUGACUGACUGACCAACCCCUUCGCAAUGCGGAGCCUGUGAUGAUUGAAACACCCCCUUCGCAAUGCAGGGCUCGAAAUGCAAUUCCGUAUGCUUCGAUUUCAGCACUGGGUGUCCACCGCUGCGUUAUCUGUCGAUUUGUAAUAUCCUUUUUUGCUCAUACCAUUGCUGGAAAGAACUCCUGAAACAACUAUUUGUCUGACAUGUAAAAUGCAGGCUUUGAAUCUUACAUCUCUGGUUAACUUGAUGUGUUUUUGUUUAUGUUAUAUGCCUUUCUGCAUCACCAGCGGUAGGCUGCUCUAGUUUCAUGUGUCGUGAGGUAACCAUUAACUGUUUAAUUGUUAAUUUAAAGCGAAGAAGUCUAUCUGAACUGCAUAAUAAUUUGGUACAACAUCAACAUGGUGCCGUUUCCCAUGUUUCUAAAGUAGUAAAAUCCAGUGCCAGGUUAGAUAAUAGUUUGGCCAUCAUAUUUUUGUGAGAUAUGUCUGGAUAUGAUUCUGUGCUUGUUUGGACUUUGAACCAUUUUAUGAUACAAGUGCGAUAAACAUAGCUUAUAAGCCAUUUCACUUGUAUACGAUUCCUAUUAGCAUUUGUUAACUGUCAGGCAACCGCAGUUCUCAUCUAUUUGUUACUGGUUUUCAUAGUACUGGUGGGUUCUUAACUGUUGUGAUUCUAUAACUGUUUGCUUUGGUUUGGGCCAUGUGGACACUCUAAUUUUUUCACUGGGAGAACACUAUAUUACAUAGGGAAAUUAAGGCGACUCUUGGUUAUUUCCUGGUUCUGAAAGUCACAUUAUCUGAUCAUUUUUCUAACACGGAUAGCUUGCUUAGCAUUAUGUUUUCCAUAUUAUUCAGAGGGUUAUGGAUGGGUACAGUAUCUAUGUCUCAGUGAUGUUCUGAUAGACUCUGUUUUUCUGGAAUUUUAUGUCUAGCAUUUCGUUGGGUGAUUGGUCGGUUUUUCAAGAGGCAGAGGAAAAUAUGAUGCCUUGUGCCAACUUAUAUCACCAAUGCAGUUUUGCUAAUUUACACAUCUAUUUAUAAUUUAUAUUUCCAUGUUUUCUCUUUUCCAGAUGUGGAACCAUGCCAAAUGCAUCCUCAACAAGAAAAACCAGAUAAAAUCGUAUGUAGCUAUGUCUCUGACUCAUCAACUGGAUUUUAGGCUUCAGUAUUCUGCCUGUUAGUUUAUUCGACUCUUGUAUCUGAGUAUAAACCAUGGAAAAUUUAACUCUACUCUUAACUUCUGACCAGUGUUGAUGAUGUUGAAGGAAUUGAUGCACUUAGGUGGGAUGACCAAGAGAAGAUAAGAAACUAUGCUGCAAAUUCCUCGACUACUUCAACUGCAACUGCAACUGCAAGUUCCACAGCUGCUAUUCCUGACAAAUGUGCUAUUGAGGUUGCUCAAUCUGCCCGUUCUUCCUGUAGACGGUGCAGUGUAAAGAUUGCAAAAGGCACUGUACGUAUUUGUUGACCAAUUGUUUUGCACAUUUCUUUUUGUUGUGAAUAUAACUUUAUUAGUCUUGCGUGAACCCAGGAAUUUAUACUUACUAGUGCUUGUGUAUAAAAUGUUUAUGGUCCUAAACAGAAUCCUCCUCAUGGUCAAUAAUCUUAAUGUGUUGUUCUUAUUUCUCACUUACUAGUGACUGUAUAUAGAGACAUGAGUUUCACAAUCUUGAAUAAAUCUUAAUGCAACUGCAUACAACCGUCACAUAAUUAUAGUACUGCCAUAUUUCUAGUUCUAAUUCUAAUCACCUGACACCUAUUGGGGGAUAUGUCGUAGUCUCCCAAACCUAAACUUGUUCUUGAUUUUUUGAAUCAGAGAUUAGAACUGUUCUAUAUAUGGCUUUGAAACACAUGAACAUGACACAUUGUUUCUCUGUCGAAAAAAGAACAUGGCACAUUGUUUUCUGCACCCUAUCUAUGACCAAGUCAAACUGCAGAUCAGGUUGCAGAUAAUGCCCAGGCUUUUAUUAUUCUGCUGUGUUGGAAUCUGGAAUGACUGUAAUAUCCUGUAAAGGCAGCAACAUGGUAUCUUGUUAUGUAAAAAUUCUCUGCUACUAGCAUGCUAGGUCACCUGCAAAAUAAGUUCUGAAAAGUAGGAAUUGGUAAAGCAAAUGAUUGUGUUGAUUUAUAUUCUUUUUCAUACAUGGAAUUCCUGAUUUUGUGCUAGAUUGGUUGAUGAACGAUAUGCAUUUCUUUGAUUUCUGGAGUCCAGAUCAAAAGAUUCUAUGGUUUAGAAGUUCAUGUUUGAUUUGUAAUCUUUCAUUUAGCUCACCAAGUAUAAAGAGAUACUAACAUUUAAUACCAGUGGUAGGGUAAGUUAUGCUGUGAAAUUAUGUUAUUUGUCUUGACUCUUAAAUUGUGUCUGUAACAGUUUGCUAUGUUGAUUAGGUUCGUGUUUCAUCUAAACUUGACGGUCAAGGUUGGUAUCAUGUUAGUUGUUUCUUGGAAAUGUCCCCAACUGCAAGUGUUGAGAAAUUCCCAGGUUGGGAGACCUUGUCGCACGAUGAUAGAGCAGCUAUUAUUGAUGUUGUUAAGAAAGGUGCUGCCAGCAAACGUAAGCAUGGAGAUCAUAGUUUCUUGUUCCUUUUUUUUAACAUAACUUGAUAAUCUGACUUGUUGUAUUUGUAAUGGUCAUCAAGAAGAAACAACUUCGAAGGGCUCCAAGCGCAAGAUUGGUGACAUUGAUGUGCGUAACUCCAAAGCUCCGAACUUAGAUGGAAGUACAUCUGAAGGUGCUGUACGAAGCAAAGGAAAACUUGUUGUACCAUGUGAGCCAAAUUCUAGUUCUGCUGAUCUGCACCAAAAGCUUAAAGAGCAGAGUGACACACUUUGGAAGUUAAAGGAUGAACUCAAAAAGCAUGUUUCAACUGCUGAGCUGAGGGAUAUGCUUGAAGUUAAUGAGCAAGAUCCAUCUGGACCAGAGCGGGAUCUAUUGGAACGAUGGUAAUAUUUUUUUGCUAUUUUUCUUUUCUUGAUGGAUUUUCAUCUAAUCGCAAAUUAUUUUACUUGUUGUCAUGUGCUAAACUCGGUAAGGUCCAGAGACUGGGAUAGGGCACUUGCCUCUGGCCAUAACUUGGGCAAGGGGUUAGGUUCAUGCCUAUGCCAUACAGGCGGUUCUUUGUGUUGUUAGAAUAAGUUAGAAUUAUAACUAUAUGACACUUAGUGCUUGUAGAGGAAGUGGAAACUUGUACAAGCGGAUCUUUUUGCUAGUGAUGAUUUUUGUGCUUGUUUUCUGGAUCCCAAAUCCUGGUGCUGACCUGUUGGUACCAGGAAUCUGAUGGGGCUUGUUUUCAAGAUAUUAGGUACUAUUUUGAAGGAACUUAUGGUCAAAUACUAUUUAGAGGUAAAGGGGAAUAACAUUUCUUCUUAAGAAUAGGGAAGAAAAACACUUAAACCAAAUUUGGUAGGAAGCAAGAUGGCGUUCUAUUAUUAUUCUACUGGUUGGGUCAUAGGGUAUUUACCAAAGCAGAAGAGUCGAACCUCACUUGCUUUAGUUGUUUUUUAUGUGCUAAUAAGCUCUGUCUGCUCCUGGCUGGCUACCUUAAUAUUUUGGAUCAUGGCUAUCUUAAUGCUUGACAAACCAUCUCUUUAGAUUCCCUGCCUGGAGUACUAAUGAUUUUAGUUUCCACUCAAAUUUGUACUCCGUUCCUAUUUACAUGCGUCUACGUAUUUUGUGAUUUAACUUUGACCAGUAAAAUAAGAGUCAUUUGUCAUAAAACUUAUACAGUUGGAAACUUUUUCGAAUACAAAUUGAAUGCUGUAAUUUUUGUGGCACACAACCCACGUUACAUUGGUCAAAUUGAUGGUCAAACUUGAGGGGGAAUUGGAUACAUUUAACUAUAGCAACUAUUUUUGAGUGAAAUGCAACAUACACCCAACAUGAUUAUAUAGCCAAACCAGCACAAUCAUGUGGCUAACUGUUGAUUGUGUGUUAUAGAUGGGGACAUCCAUUACUUGUCUAAUGCUAAGUAUUACAACUAUUGAACCAAUAUUAUACGUUCUAUAAAGCAAUUCUAAUUGAUCAACAAAACUAAGUUCAAUAAUUAUGGGGUUUAAUUGACCUCAAAAGCCACAUUAAGUUUUAAGUCAGACUUCUCCAUAUUUGACCAAGUUUAUAGAAAAAUGUGCGUAUACCUACAACAUCAAAUAUAUGUAGUAUGAAAAUAUAUUUUAUGACGAAUUUAUUAAAGCUAAUUUGAUGUUGUAGAUGUUGAUAUAUUUCUCUGUAGACCUGAUCAAACUUAAAGAAGUUAGACUUGGGACAAAGCUAGAACUUCAAUUAAUUUGGAAUGGAGGAAGUAGCUUUUAGUGGAGCUGAAGAGCUCUGAAACAAGGCCUGGUAUCCUGCUGAAAUAUUGUUGAAUUUUGACUACACCGACCUGCCAGCCUGUGGCAUUGCUCUUUCUGUCGUACUUCACAAUAUUCAGAUGCUUCACUCUUUAUAAUGUCUCAUGGUUCUAUUUUUUGUAACAUUUUUGUUCUCUUGCAGUGCUGAUGGGAUGCUGUUUGGAGCGCUGGGCACUUGCCCAGUCUGUAAUAGCUGCCUAUACUAUUAUGGUGGUCACUAUCAGUGCAAUGGCCAUGUUUCAGAGUGGUCCAAAUGUACCUACAUGACAACAGAACCUGUACGCAUGAAGAAAAAAUGGAAAAUUCCCGAUGAAAUAAAGAAUGAUUAUCUUACAAAGGUAGGGCAUCUUGGAGCUUCUCAAGCUCAAGUAUUUACUUUUCGUGUUAGAGAGCAGCGUCUUGUAGCUAAUGUGGGAUUCAUCCAAGGACCAAAAGAACCAUAUAUUUAGGUAAAUAAUUAAGUGCUUCCCAGAGCUAGAUAUUAUUUUUGGAGGGGAGAUUAUGCAUUAUUGGGAACAUUGUGCUCCAUGGUUAGAACUUCUAAGGGCACCCAAUGGUUGGACCCUCCCGCCCAACCAUGUCCCAGGCUCAUUUAGUUCCCAAGCCCGCCUUCUGUUUUCUCAGAAAAAAACAAACUAGAAACUCUUGUGAUCGAGUUAACAGUAGGCACCACUCACUAACAGAAAAUAACUAAUAAACAUGUUUGUCUUGCAGUGGUUCAAGUCUCAAAAGGUUAAGAAACCAGAGCGAGUUCUUCCCCCAAUGUCACCUCAGAAGUCUGUAGGUCAAUCACCUCAGCAGUCUCUCGUCGGUGAAGCAUUGGAUAAAUUGAGAGUUUGUAUAGUAGGACAAUCUAAAGAUACUGUAAGUAAUCUUCAUUAAUUUUUUUGUACGCUAUAUUUUUAGGUUAUUUUUCUGUUUUGCUUGCCGUUUGGUUACAUCCUACGUAAAAUGUCUAUUAGUUUAAAGUAGGUGCAAAAUUAAUUGCGUGAAUCUCUAGUCUUUGUUGAGUUGCAUCUAUGCAAGUAUGCAUCCUUGCUGAAGUAGUAUGCAUCAUGAUUGCUUCAGUAAAUUUGUGUCAAGGGAUACUUAGGCUCAUUUUGUUGUCACUGAAUAUGCUAUGUAUGCUGUGCCUAAUUUAUAAUCUUUUGUGGAAAAGUAGCCUCCAAAAUAGGCAGAGGCUGGUUAGCCAAAAGAUUAAAUGGGCAUAAGUAACAGAGCCUUACUAUAUUGUACCAGAGAAUCAGUUUAUUCAUACACUGCAUGGUUUGUCUAUGAAAAAACUGAAAACGUGGAAAGUACUACCUCUGAUCCAAAAUGUAAGUCCUUUAAGCAUUUUUACCGAUCAAACAUUUCUAGAUUUUACUAUCUAGAGGAGAAGAACUACUAGCAUCCAAAACAUCAGAUUAGUUUUACUAGAUUUAUCAUGAAAUAUACUUUUAUAGUUCAUGAUUUUUUUUAUUUGAGGCACAAAUCUGCACAGAAAUUGAUCUUCAAUGUAUCAUUGAAAAACGUGUCAGUGUCCUAAAAGGCUUACAUUUUGGAUUGGAGGGAGUACUCAGUACUCAACUGACCUCUGGUAUUUUGAAGUAGUUUUCUGAUAGUUUUUGAGCUGUUAGUUCGCUUGAAUGCACUAAUGUCUUGAAAGACACAGAGAGCUGUGUGUCAAUUGUUUCUUUAUGUUUCUCAACAAUUUCUCCAAUUUACAUUAUAUUCGAUAUUCGUCGGAAUAUGGAGAGUUAGCUUGUUAGACCAUGUCUAAUCCUGCAUCGGUUCAAAGAGAAAAAAGGCAAGGCUUUGAAUCUAUGAGCCUUUUCCUCCAAUGUAUAAUAAAGGGAAGGAAUAAAUUGAUGCCUGCUUUGUUCUUCCUUGGAUUUGCUGCAAGAGAAAAAAGGCAAGGCUUUGAAUCUAUGAGCCUUUUCCUCCAAUGUAUAAUAAAGAGAAGGAAUAAAUUGAUGCCUGCUUUGUUCUUCCUUGGAUUUGCUGCAACUUCAAGCAUCAGUCCCUUUGAAUCGCUUUCUGCAGUGUAUCAAUCUAGCUCUAUACUUCCUCCAAAUCACUUUUCUGCAACACUGGUCUUAGAAUGUAACAUGAGCAAAAGGAGCAAGGUGUUGAAUUCAUGUAAAAUCAUUUCUUGUCAGAUUCUAGGGUCGGAUUGCCUCAUGUGAUCUGUCUCCUUUAUUUCAUAUCAGAUGGAUACUAUAGGUCGUAUAUCUAGUUGCAUGUGACACCCAGUUUUUUUUCUCUUUUUUUUAUUUGUUGUAAUUAGGUAAUUUAUUGCUUGUUUCAAAUGCUCUUUACAAGUUUUAUAUUUAAUUAACGAGCUGAACUCUUGUAGGAUGAGUGGAAGCAGAAGCUUAAACUUGCUGGUGCCCACUUCAGUCCCAGGGUUACCAAAGGUUUUUCUUUGCAUAUAUGAACUUCUUUUACAAUUGGAUUUGUAUAACAUUGGAACCUAGAUUUCCUUGUGCAACAUAUAUGGAUAACUGAGGUAAUUGUUUUAUGGAGUAGGGAUAAAGGGAAGAGGCUAUCUUAUGGCUAUUCUUAUGUCAAUAUGGAUUGGUGCCUCGUUGGCUAUACCACCCUUAGAUCCAACUAUCCAACAUCACUUCAUGUUUUGAGAUUCUUAUAUUUUCACCAUCUUCACUGUAGCACACCCUCAUGUCACACCAUAAUAAAGACACUUCUGUAGUGAGGCCUUGGUUUGACUACCACUUAAUUGAUAGUUCAUAUUCAGUCCCUAGCAUGCACAGAUUAGUUUAUCACAGAGUGCAAUGCCGCAUUGUGCAGAGAAAUAAAAUAUGCGUCCCUCAGCAUGAGCCCAUGGUCUGGGUUCGACUACCAUUUAAUCUUCAGUUUAUUUUCAAUAUCUGGUAGUGCAUAAUACGAGCUGAGUACAGAUUGGUUCAUCACGGAGGGUACAAUGCUGUAUUUUGUAGACAUAAAAUAUGCGAACCUCAAAGUACGAUGUUAUUGCACUAUGCUUAUGUUUACCUGCAUUGCAGAUAUUAAUUGUGUAGUUUCAUGUGGCGGGCUUGAUAACGAGAGUGCUGAAGUCAGGAAAGCUAGGUCUCACAUUUUACCCUAUCCAUUGUUUUUCAAUCAUAAUUUGGCAUGUUCUUUUUGCUCUAAUGCUGAGGUUGGAAUAUCAUGUUAUAUAUAUGAAUUUGUUUGCAGGAGGCAGAAGAUACCAAUCGUCAGAGAAGAUUACCUUGGAGAAUGCAUUAGAAAAAACAGGGUGCUUCCAUUUGAUUUAUACAAAGUAGCGACUACCUUGGAGGAGUCAUCAAAAGGUAGCACGGUCACUGUUAAAGUUAAGGGCCGAAGUGCUGUUCAUGAGGCCUCCGGUCUGCAAGAUACGGGCCAUAUUCUGGAAAAUGGCAAAAGCAUUUACAAUACAACCUUAAACAUUUCUGACAUGACACAAGGUGUUAACAGGCAAGGUUUUUGCUCAUAAUAUUUUUUUGAGGGUUUGCUCAUAAUAUUUUGUUGCAAAUUCGUGACAUACAUUUUGAGUUAGGGUGAUUGCGAAUAGUGCCUACUGGUUAGGGCACUUUUAGACUUCUAAUAAAUCCCGCAACAAGUUUUUUUCUCUCAUUUACCCCCUGCAAGCUUUCCAUUCCAAAUAUCCUCUUUCGACUGCAGUAUCCUUCAAUUUUAAUGAAUUCCACCUGAACUUUAGUGGUUAGGAGAAAUAUACAAUAACCGUGAAGCAACUAUCUUAUUUGUGUAUGUAUCCAGGCUAUAGGAAUUGGAGGUGGUUAAUCUAUAAUGGGUAAUAAAUCUGAGUUACUAUUCACAUUUUGUUUUUGAUGUGGUUCCUCGAAUUCAAUUUGAGUUUAUCUAAAACUUAGAGGAUGGUUUAAUACUUUGUACUCCAGAAUUUCUUCUCAUCCACACAAGGUUUAUAUACAGGGGCAUUUUAGAAUGACCGACUAACUAGCCUGAACAGGCUCAAAAUCAGGCCAAAGGGUUGAGGAUAAUUUCGUCAAUGCCUCACAAUGGUACGGCAGUUGCAUGUGAUUUGUAGUCAAGGGAACAUCACCUCAGGUCACCAGGUCGAUUUUGACAUGAUUUACCCCAGGGCCCCUUGUGUGGGUUAUAUCCCUUCUCCUGCCUCAGUUAGUAGUAUUAUAUGGAAAAAAGUGCACAAUAUUGGUUACAAAAGGGAGAUCUCCCGAGUUGGUAGGCAACUCGCCGAGCUACGAUAAUCAAUCUGGGCAAUAGGCGCCAUAAUCACUAGGGUUUGUAUGGAUCUAGAUUGCUUGGUCCCUUUCUGGGGUCCUCGGCACCUUUAUAUAGCUCCUGGAUGGCGGUAAUCUUCCUUCUCCUUUAUAUAGCCUCCGUCGUACACGCGUAGGGAGUUUGGAUCGGAUACAAUUAGAACUUGUGACCACCUCCUAUGCAAGGUUUCCUUAUCUUCCACCUGUAAUAUACACCCUCUAGAUUAGUGGUCCUUCACAUCGGCUUCCAAGUCCCAUAUACACCAAGGCCUGUACGGCCCGCUUGUACAGUUUGCACGGCACUGGGAUACGGUAAGCUGGCUUACCAUCGCCAAAGGGUAGGGUAAUAACCAGCUAAACAAAGAAACCAUAGCAGAAUGGCAGGAGGGUUGGGUGCUACCACCUCGGUCAUCUUCCUCGUAUGAGCUCAGUUCUUGUUAACAUUGUCACCAUGGAACUUUUAUUGAUCACCAUCAUAAAUGUCGUCGCAUUGCUUUUGCCAUCACAGUCGGCGUUGAUGUCAGCGUCACGUCUCCAGUUGAUCAUGCUGAGGGAUGGCGGCUGCCGGUGUGAUUUGUAUUAGGCUCAAAGGGAAAUAUACAGACUAUGUAGCACAGUACACAUAUGGAUACAGGGACACCGGAAAAUAGUAUUUAUCAAACAUAGGCUUAUCGGGAUACUUAUUUAGGUAUAUAGUGAAAAGAACAUGCCAUGUAUAAUUUAUGUUUUAGAGGAGAGAAGAUGAGAGUACUGCAUGUUUCCUCCUUCAGUCCUUCUCAUUGACGAAUGAUGUUGAUCUCCUCAAGUUAACUCCUCAGUCCUCACACGAUGGUCUUUACAACAUCAAAUACAUCAUAUGCUAGUUACCUUGCUGGUGAGAUGGACAUGAGGAUGAAUGUGGGAGGUGGAUGGCUCUUGUCUCCCAGCGGCGUGCAGAAAGACCGGNNNNNNNNNNNNNNNNNNNNNNNNNNNNNNNNNNNNNNNNNNNNNNNNNNNNNNNNNNNNNNNNNNNNNNNNNNNNNNNNNNNNNNNNNNNNNNNNNNNNNNNNNNNNNNNNNNNNNNNNNNNNNNNNNNNNNNNNNNNNNNNNNNNNNNNNNNNNNNNNNNNNNNNNNNNNNNNNNNNNNNNNNNNNNNNNNNNNNNNNNNNNNNNNNNNNNNNNNNNNNNNNNNNNNNNNNNNNNNNNNNNNNNNNNNNNNNNNNNNNNNNNNNNNNNNNNNNNNNNNNNNNNNNNNNNNNNNNNNNNNNNNNNNNNNNNNNNNAACACACACACACAAAAGAUUGGGCCUUACAUGGUCUUUCAGUGGAGGGGUUACUUGAUCAACUUGCCCCAUCUUUGUUUUUAUUUUUCUAAUACAACUGUAAGAAAAAGGGACAUUUGGCUGCUCUAUCCAUGUAGAAAUUCCCCAUUCGAGUCUACUAAAUUAAGUACAUGAUUGUAAUUGUGUAUAUCAAUAGUUUCCAGAAUCAAAAAACAUAUGCGCAAGUUUACGUUGAUUAUGGUUCCUGUUCCUGUCGGAGAUUGAUCUCCAGGAACAUAAACACUAUACAUUGGGAAAAUAACUAAUUCUGCUGUUGCUUCGUUAUAUAGGUUAUUGCUUGCCUUACUUCAUCUCUUACAAAUUGCUUUUUUGUUUCUGAAGCUACUAUAUACUUCAGAUCAUCGAAGAGGAUGAUGGGAGUGAAUGCUAUGUAUUUCGAAAGUGGGGACGAGUUGGCAGUGAAAAGAUUGGUGGAAAGAAACUGGAGGAGAUGUCAAAAACUGACGCAAUACGUGAAUUUAAAAGAUUAUUUCUGGAAAAGACUGGAAACCCCUGGGAAGCAUGGGAACAAAAAACAAA